rnacentral:lncRNA from 1 species
GAAUAUUCCGUUCUCAAAUAAAGAAAACGUGUUGCAAGGAAUUGGUAAAACGCCAACAACCCAUAUUUGCUGUCCACUUUCCUUUAAAAUUAUUUUUCUUUCGUGUAAAACAUCCACCGUUGAUCUUAAAUGUAACUAUUUGAUCUCGUCCGUUGAUUAGCGCUAACUCUGUGUAUAAAGAUAACGCAUUGAUCUCUUUGGUUACCAUACCCGCUUUUUCCUUAUUAUUAUUCUUUUCAACUUAUUUUUUUUGUGUUCAUCGUUAUCUCUAGAUCUUUCUGCUAUGUCAACGUAUUCGAGUCUUUCCGAUUCAGAUCGUCGGAGUUUCAGCUCUCGCUCUACCGAUCGAUCACGUAUGGGCACGGAUCUAGCUGCUCCGGUUUGAUUCAUGGCGUACGACGGAUCUUAGCGGCGGAGAUCUCCGAGGAUCGGUUGAAUAGCUGGUAAUUAUGCUUAUUCUGAUAACCGAUUCUCAAUUCGAUUUGAUUCCUUUCCAUAGUAUUGAUUUUUCAAUUUCGAAUUCCCAGAUCUGAUGUUGGAUCGUGAUUCAUGAUCUCGGCUUUGAGGUUCGUCGUCGGAUCUGCUAUUUGCGUUGCGGAUUGAUGAGGUGAUGAUGAAUCCGUCAACUCUCUUGAUUCUGGAGAGGAGCGAUUGAAGAAGAGGGAAGAGCCGAAGGAGGAAGGAAGAUAUGUGAAAUGAAAUGAGAUGAGUAUGAAGGAUGUAUGAGAUGUUUGUUAAGGACGAAAAAGCCCCGAUGAGUUGGCUUGAGUUCUGAUUAAGCAUCUUUGUCAUCCGACCUUUGCCAUGACAGGUGCGCUUGCAUGGCAGGUCACCAAAAAAAAUCUCUAAUAAAAAAAAUAGUUUCGUGUUGUUGUGAGGGGAGUUCGCACGGGGAUAUUUUUUAAGCCCGGGUUCUCCCCUCACCUUGUGUCUCUUGCAUCUCGCUCUCACACUCACUCUGAUUCGUUUUGAUCUUAAAUUCCACCAAAAUAUCUCGAUACAGACAUAUUUUGAAUGGAUCCAGAUCGCAGAUCUGGAGUCAAACGCCGCCUAAUCCAACAUACUCCAUGGAGACCAAAAGGUACUUUUAAAUUUUAGUUUCACUUCUCCCUUCAGCCAUUUAACCGUACAACAUAACUUAUCUAACCUCAAAACGGCUUUGAUAUUUGCUCAUGGAUUUCAUUUCAAAAUUGAAUUAUGAAGACUAUUAUCUCGGUAUGUUAAUUUGAAUUGCUUAUCACUUUUAUUAUCCUCUAUAAUAUAACAGCAUGGAAUUCAUAAGGUGUUUAUACCUCUAUUAAAAUUUGCUUGUAACAACUAUUUUGUAACAACGAUCAUCAGAUGCAUCAAUUUUUUUCCUAUACUGUAAGCAUAUUGUAUUGUAUCUUGCAUAUUUUCUAGUGUUGCAAAUGGCUUUGAAGACCUUGAAAGGUUUCCCGGCUAUGCGUAAAUCUGCCCCCCCAAGGGAUGUUAUUUUUCAUCUUGUUGAAAUCAAGAGGUAUAUAGAACAAGUGUGUUUUUGUACAAACUUGAGUUCACAACUCUUGUUUCUAAAUCUCAACGGAGUAUUUCAUUCUUUAUUUGAGAUAAAUGUUGAAUUGUAGUAACAAUGUUUUGCACUGUAUAUACUAUGAAGGGAUUUGUUCUUUUAAAUUAUUAUAGUUUUUGUUGAUGCAUUUGUGUUGAGUUUCACUUCCAGUACUAGAUUUAUUGUUGUUAUAUAACAAUUCUUGAAUAAAUGUUUGGUGAAUGUUAAGGCAAGCUUCAAUUCUUUGAUAUAUAUAUGAUGGGUUAGUGGACUUUGUCUCUAUUGUGGAUAGGUUCUCUAGGAAUUUGGAUAAAGAUCGGAACAGACAUCUUAAUCCAUAGAAGUCUAUGCGUUAUUAUCAAUGGGCAAGGUUUGCAUUAGUAGAUCUGUAAGCUCAAAAUGGUAGAGCUCUCGUUACGAGAGGUUGGUGGUUCGAAUCCACCCAGAUCUGUCUACUUCCUCGGAUGUCUUUUUCACGCUUCUUACAUUAUCUUAAUUUCGAAUUCAAUUUGGUUAUGAUAUAUCAGAGUUACUGUACAUAUUAUUAGGGUAUGUGGAAAACUAAAUGGCUGCAAUGAAGGAAAUCUUUUUUUUGGCAAUUGGCGCGAGGGUAAGAGGAAUUGGUCAGUGGUGAAGCAGUGAUGGAUGAUGAUCUAUGUGACUUGAAAUUACAAGCAACUAAGCAAUGACUUUUAACCACAAACGGUUACACAAAAGAAAGUUAAUAUGGCCAUCUCUAUGAUCAUCUGGACUUUGUUUUUGGACUUUGAAAUGAUAAAAUAAAAAAGAACAAUGGUUGGGCCCUAAAGUUCACAUAUCAUAUACUUAGGCAUGAAGUAGCAGGUGGAUAAUAGAAAUUGACCUAACUUCCAUAGUUUAUAGCUUGUGAGCUGAGCUCCAUGAAAGAUCACUCCAUAGUAUACUUUUGCCGAGUCUGAUGAUGAUCAGUAUGACUUUCUUGCCAGAUCAUGUUGUGCGUUUGGUAAAUGGUGGUGUCGUUGUGAGCUGAGCUAAAGUUUUGAUGGUGGUUUUUACCAAUAAAAAAGUUGGUGUCGUUGUGACUAGUGAGAGGACCAAUGAGUUACGUACGUUAAUUGCAUUGUGGGCUAGUAAAAUUGAUAUGGAAUGCCAAAGUUUUGAUGUGGUUAUUACCUAUUAAAAAGUUUUGAUGUGGUUUUUACCAAUAACUGCCCGACUACCCUUGACUUAAUCGAUGAGUUGUUUUUUUUGGAUUAUAAGAAGUCGACGGACAUUAGCAAACAAUAUUAUUUUAUUAUUGGGGGUGAUUGGUUGGAUUUUAUUUCUCUACUUUAGCUUUAUUUAUUUUUAAAUCACUAAAUUUUAUCAAUCAUGUUGUAGCUUUUACCUUUAAAAAUUAAAGUCUACAUCAAGUUUUUAUUUACUUUUACCAAUCAUGAUUUAGCUUUAUCUUUAAAGCUACAGUAAAAAAAAUAAAACAACAUUUUUUUUUAUGUAUUUUAGGCAAAAAUGCUACAUCAUCUUUUUAUAGACUGCAGAAUCCGUAAAAUAAAAAAAAAUAUCUAUAAUAUCAAAUAAAUUAUAUAAUCAUAAUAAAAACUUUUAUAAAUAUUUUAAUUUUGAAUUUGAGUGUUUUUUAAUUAUUGAGAUAUUUAAAUAAUGUAAAUAUUAUUUACAUAUCACAUUUUAAAUUACAAUAAAUUUUGAUAAUUUAUAAAAAAAUAUUAACAUAAAUUAUUUUAAUUCAUAUAAAAUAAUAAUUUUAUAUAUACAACACAUAUUUCAUAUAUUUUACUUCAAAAUAUCUACAGCCUAUAACUUAUAGCUACAACAAAUUUAACUACAACAAAAGUCUCUGCAGAAAAAAUCUACAAUAACAACUUUACAGAUACAACCAAUUUAUUUACACUAAACAUCUACAGCUAAAUUUUUAAAGCUACAGUCGAACCAAUUAUCACCAAUUUUAUCUACAUUCUAGUUGAGACGACCCGAUCGUAAAUAAUAUUCAUUUUCAUACCAAUUUUAUCUACAUUCUAGUUGAGACGACCCGAUCGUAAAUAAUAUUCAUUUUCAUAAAAUAUAUAAAAAACUAUAAAUUAAGAAGCGUUAAGGGUCGGAUUGACGUGACAUGUUAUUUUGUGCCAUUUAAUUACUGGUCUAAUGUCAAUGCUGUUGAUUUAAUCAAAGCUCAAAACCAUAUAAUAUUGCUAACUAUAAUAUUUUAAUUUUAAAUGCCACACAAUUAGUUAAUGUCUUUUUCCACGUUCUAGCUUUUUAUUUGUCCUCCUGAAGUGGGAAUGAUUAGGCUCGCGUCAGGACCAAACCCCAUUGAUCCUUCUGUAUCUUUCGUUCACUAAUACAAAGAGAUCCGUAUCAUCAGGUUUAGGUCGUCUUUGCAUUUUGAUUUUGAUUUUGAUUUUCAUUAUGUUCAUGUUUCUCCAUCAUACGUGUUAUUGAAUUGAACAAGGCAGGCUCCUACUACUUUCAAGUUUCUCUCGACGAACGAAGUUUACGUGAGCUUCAAUCAUUUCAUUGAUCUUGUUUUUCAUGUAAUGCAAAUUUCUUAUCGUUGCUAAUUACUGAAUUUUUGUUAAUAACCUCUUUGAUAUUUUCUCGUGAAUCUAAUAGUUGCUCGUAUUGGAUUAAAACUCUGUUUUUGUGAAACCGUUUCUAGGCUUUGAAGCUGUCCUCCUUAGAGAUUAAAGAUCUUUUACCAAACAUGAGUGCUCACCAACUCGAGGAUAAUUCUCAGCAAGAUAACAAGGUGCAACUAGCUUUUUAGUAUUAACAUAAUUUACUUAAGCAUUAGUAAUAAUAAUUGGGGCCCAUAAUAAUUAUUAAAACCCCUACAAACAUUCAGGUUAGCAAAUUGAAAUCUGCGUUAGGACCACUCUCAGGACAUAGUUUAGUUUUCUGCUCUGAUGCUUCCUUGAGGAGAUACUUGGAUGCUCGUAGCUGGAAUGUCGAAAACGCCAAGCAAAUGAUUGAGGAGACACUUAAAUGGAGAUCAACAUACAAGCCUCAUGAGAUCCCUUGGGUAACUUCAACAUCUAAAUAUCAAAGAUACGUUCAUGUUUGUUUAUUUUCUUCUCUGGUUAUCUCCAGCAUGAAGUAGCACAUGAAGGUGAGACUGGAAAAGUUUCAAGAGCUAGUUUUCAUGAUCGUCACGGUAGGACUGUGCUAAUAAUGAGACCAGGGUUACAGGUAAUUUAAUCGGAUUUUCUGUUUGUUUGUUUUUAAUCUCUUUCAAGAACUCAUAUGUAGUAGAUAUGUCUCUCAUAUAAUUUUAUAAACAGAACACAACAUCAGCAGAAGGUAAUAUCAGGCACUUGGUGUAUCUUCUUGAAAACGCAAUCAUUAAUCUUCCCAAAGGACAAGAACAAAUGUCUUGGCUCAUAGAUUUUACUGGUUGGUCCAUGGCUAAUAAUGCUCCCAUGAAAACAACACGAGACAUUAUCUACAUUCUACAGAAUCAUUACCCUGAGAGACUCGGUAUGUCAUUUCUCUACAAUCCUCCAAGACUCUUCCAAGCAGGCUACAAGGUACAAAAAGUCAUCAUUACAUAAUAAUAUUGUCUUUUUAAUAAAGUUUCAAAAAGCCCUUUAAUGAGUCAUUCAUUUACUAGGCUGUUAAGUACUUCUUGGACCCAAGAACAGCUCAAAAGGUGAACUUCGUGUACCCAAAUGACAAAGCAAGUGAUGAACUGAUGAGAUCACACUUUGAUAUGGAGAAUCUCCCCAAGGAGUUUGGUGGAGAAGCAACACUAGAGUAUGACCAUGAGGAAUUCUCAAGACAAAUGUUUGAAGACGAUCUCAAAACCGCAAAGUUCUGGGGGCUAGAAGAGAAACAGUAUCUGAAACCAAACGGUUUCUCUCCAGCCGAUGUUGUUCCUGAACCGGCCACUUCUCUUGCAUCAGUAGCUAACUGAGAGUUGAAACUACAUAUAAACACAUAAAGAAACAAGAGAAGAUUAUAAACGCUUUAUUCUCAUUGAUGAAGAACCAAUAAAAAAACGUGCAGAUUACUAAGAAAAUUAGUGAGCCGCCAGACUUUUUCAAUGUCCUAGCUAAGCUGACAGACACGUUCCUUGUUAUUGAAGUUAAUGUAUGUUUUAGAAUGUUGUUACCAUGUCUAAUUGUUUGGUGUUUAUUGCUUGAAAAUAUGAGAAUCAUCCUUUUGGUUCUAUUUUUUCUUAAUUUAUUUAGUUAUGAAAUAUUUGCUCAAUUUAUAUCUGUCUGUUACAACCUAAGCAAGUUUAUUUAGCUUAAGAUGACAUAAUGAAAUGUUAAGAGUAAGUAUUUGUUACAAAAUAAGUAUCUAUGAUUUUAUUGUAAUUUAUAUCAUUAAUUUAUCUUUACAUAAAUAAUUUUUUUUAAAAAAUAUAUAAGAAAAUAUUAAUAGUUAAAUAAGGAUAAAACUGAAUAUUUAGCUAUAUUUUUAGUUUACAUGAAAAAAAUAAAACGACAUCUAAUAUGAAAUUAAUGACCAAAGGCAACCGGUUGGAACUGUUCUGGAACCAAUUUUCCUUGGUUAGAGCAUUGGUCUUUGACUCAAAGGUCGCGGGUUCGAAAGUCAACAUUUCAUUUUGGUUAUAAUUGGAUUUAAACAAUCUUCAUGGAUCCAUGGUGAUUCCCAGAUAACAAUCUUCUCCCCAAGGUCGACGACGAAAGAGACAGCCAACAAUGGUUCACAACGCUUACGAUUCCUUUCAGCUUCUCACCAACUGCCCCGCUCGGAUCGACGCCGUCGAAUCCCACAACUCCAAGCUCUUCGCCGGAUGCUACGACGGCUCCCUCCGCAUCUACUCACCCCAAUCUCCCUCCUCCGAGCUCCGCCAAGACUCUUACCUCCUCGAAACAACCGUCACCGGAUUCUCCAAGAAACCCAUCGUGGCCAUGAAGGUCUUGGCCUCCAGAGAGCUGCUCCUCUCUCUCUCGGAGUCGAUCGCGUUCCACAAGAUUCCUAAUCUGGAGACCGUCGCCGUGAUCACCAAAGCGAAAGGCGCCAAUGCUUACUCGUGGGACGAUCGACGCGGCUUCCUCUGCUUCUCUAGGCAGAAGAGGGUCUGCGUCUUCAAGCACGACGGUAAAAAGAUCGGAGCUUUUCUACUCAUUUGUGAUUAAAAAAAGUUUGGAUUUUUAUUUUUUUAUUAAAAAAGAAAGUUUGGAUUUUUAUUGUUACAGGAGGAGGAGGGUUUGUGGAGGUGAGGGACUAUGGAGUUCCUGAUACUGUAAAGUCCAUUUCUUGGUGUGGUGAAAACAUUUGCUUGGGGAUUAGGAAAGAGUAUGUGAUUCUCAACACUGCUAAUGGGACUCUCUCUGAGGUGUUUCCUUCCGGUAGAGUUGCUCCUCCUCUCGUCACUUCUCUACCUUCUGGUGAACUUCUCCUUGGAUUCUCAGCAAGAUAACAAGGUGCAACUAGCUUUUUAGUAUUAACAUAAUUUACUUAAGCAUUAGUAAUAAUAAUUGGGGCCCAUAAUAAUUAUUAAAACACCUACAAACAUUCAGGUUAGCAAAUUGAAAUCUGCGUUAGGACCACUCUCAGGACAUAGUUUAGUUUUCUGCUCUGAUGCUUCCUUGAGGAGAUACUUGGAUGCUCGUAGCUGGAAUGUCGAAAACGCCAAGCAAAUGAUUGAGGAGACACUUAAAUGGAGAUCAACAUACAAGCCUCAUGAGAUCCCUUGGGUAACUUCAACAUCUAAAUAUCAAAGAUACGUUCAUGUUUGUUUAUUUUCUUCUCUGGUUAUCUCCAGCAUGAAGUAGCACAUGAAGGUGAGACUGGAAAAGUUUCAAGAGCUAGUUUUCAUGAUCGUCACGGUAGGACUGUGCUAAUAAUGAGACCAGGGUUACAGGUAAUUUAAUCGGAUUUUCUGUUUGUUUGUUUUUAAUCUCUUUCAAGAACUCAUAUGUAGUAGAUAUGUCUCUCAUAUAAUUUUAUAAACAGAACACAACAUCAGCAGAAGGUAAUAUCAGGCACUUGGUGUAUCUUCUUGAAAACGCAAUCAUUAAUCUUCCCAAAGGACAAGAACAAAUGUCUUGGCUCAUAGAUUUUACUGGUUGGUCCAUGGCUAAUAAUGCUCCCAUGAAAACAACACGAGACAUUAUCUACAUUCUACAGAAUCAUUACCCUGAGAGACUCGGUAUGUCAUUUCUCUACAAUCCUCCAAGACUCUUCCAAGCAGGCUACAAGGUACAAAAAGUCAUCAUUACAUAAUAAUAUUGUCUUUUUAAUAAAGUUUCAAAAAGCCCUUUAAUGAGUCAUUCAUUUACUAGGCUGUUAAGUACUUCUUGGACCCAAGAACAGCUCAAAAGGUGAACUUCGUGUACCCAAAUGACAAAGCAAGUGAUGAACUGAUGAGAUCACACUUUGAUAUGGAGAAUCUCCCCAAGGAGUUUGGUGGAGAAGCAACACUAGAGUAUGACCAUGAGGAAUUCUCAAGACAAAUGUUUGAAGACGAUCUCAAAACCGCAAAGUUCUGGGGGCUAGAAGAGAAACAGUAUCUGAAACCAAACGGUUUCUCUCCAGCCGAUGUUGUUCCUGAACCGGCCACUUCUCUUGCAUCAGUAGCUAACUGAGAGUUGAAACUACAUAUAAACACAUAAAGAAACAAGAGAAGAUUAUAAACGCUUUAUUCUCAUUGAUGAAGAACCAAUAAAAAAACGUGCAGAUUACUAAGAAAAUUAGUGAGCCGCCAGACUUUUUCAAUGUCCUAGCUAAGCUGACAGACACGUUCCUUGUUAUUGAAGUUAAUGUAUGUUUUAGAAUGUUGUUACCAUGUCUAAUUGUUUGGUGUUUAUUGCUUGAAAAUAUGAGAAUCAUCCUUUUGGUUCUAUUUUUUCUUAAUUUAUUUAGUUAUGAAAUAUUUGCUCAAUUUAUAUCUGUCUGUUACAACCUAAGCAAGUUUAUUUAGCUUAAGAUGACAUAAUGAAAUGUUAAGAGUAAGUAUUUGUUACAAAAUAAGUAUCUAUGAUUUUAUUGUAAUUUAUAUCAUUAAUUUAUCUUUACAUAAAUAAUUUUUUUUAAAAAAUAUAUAAGAAAAUAUUAAUAGUUAAAUAAGGAUAAAACUGAAUAUUUAGCUAUAUUUUUAGUUUACAUGAAAAAAAUAAAACGACAUCUAAUAUGAAAUUAAUGACCAAAGGCAACCGGUUGGAACUGUUCUGGAACCAAUUUUCCUUGGUUAGAGCAUUGGUCUUUGACUCAAAGGUCGCGGGUUCGAAAGUCAACAUUUCAUUUUGGUUAUAAUUGGAUUUAAACAAUCUUCAUGGAUCCAUGGUGAUUCCCAGAUAACAAUCUUCUCCCCAAGGUCGACGACGAAAGAGACAGCCAACAAUGGUUCACAACGCUUACGAUUCCUUUCAGCUUCUCACCAACUGCCCCGCUCGGAUCGACGCCGUCGAAUCCCACAACUCCAAGCUCUUCGCCGGAUGCUACGACGGCUCCCUCCGCAUCUACUCACCCCAAUCUCCCUCCUCCGAGCUCCGCCAAGACUCUUACCUCCUCGAAACAACCGUCACCGGAUUCUCCAAGAAACCCAUCGUGGCCAUGAAGGUCUUGGCCUCCAGAGAGCUGCUCCUCUCUCUCUCGGAGUCGAUCGCGUUCCACAAGAUUCCUAAUCUGGAGACCGUCGCCGUGAUCACCAAAGCGAAAGGCGCCAAUGCUUACUCGUGGGACGAUCGACGCGGCUUCCUCUGCUUCUCUAGGCAGAAGAGGGUCUGCGUCUUCAAGCACGACGGUAAAAAGAUCGGAGCUUUUCUACUCAUUUGUGAUUAAAAAAAGUUUGGAUUUUUAUUUUUUUAUUAAAAAAGAAAGUUUGGAUUUUUAUUGUUACAGGAGGAGGAGGGUUUGUGGAGGUGAGGGACUAUGGAGUUCCUGAUACUGUAAAGUCCAUUUCUUGGUGUGGUGAAAACAUUUGCUUGGGGAUUAGGAAAGAGUAUGUGAUUCUCAACACUGCUAAUGGGACUCUCUCUGAGGUGUUUCCUUCCGGUAGAGUUGCUCCUCCUCUCGUCACUUCUCUACCUUCUGGUGAACUUCUCCUUGGGAAGGUAGCAUAUGUUGUUUGUUUGUCAUGUGUGCUAUAUUCUUCUUUGUAGUUCCAAUUUUGUCCCCUUUUUGUGUUGUUUUAGUAGUUUCUUUUUGUACUUGGUAGGAUAACAUUGGAGUAUUUGUUGAUCAAAAUGGGAAGCUUCUUCAGACAGAGAGGCUUUGCUGGUCAGAGGCCCCAACAGCUAUUGUCAUUCAAAACCCCUAUGCUAUAGCCUUGUUGCCUCGACGAGUUGAGGUAUAUAAAGCCACUUUGCCUUCUCUUUAGGAACCUGUUAUGCCUCAUUUGGAUUUGUUUUGAUAGGUUCGCUUGCUGCGAAGCCCCUAUCCUUUGAUACAGACGAUUGUUCUCCAGAAUAUUCGUCACCUUGUCAAGAGCAACAAUGCUGUGAUUGUUGGUUUGGAUAACUCUGUUCAUGCUCUCUUCCCUGUUUCUAUCGGUGCUCAGGUACUCACUCAUUGCUCUGAGAAUGUUUGGUUUUUAAUUUUUUUUUAUUUUGUUUUGAGAAAGUUAAAGUGUCUUUGCAGAUUGUGCAACUAACAGCUUCUGGAAACUUUGAGGAAGCCUUAGCUCUAUGCAAGUUACUCCCUUCUGAAGAGUCAAGCCUAAGAGCUGCGAAAGAGAGUUCGAUUCACACAAGGUAUUUAAAGCUAGAACUUCAAUAAUGCUUAGUUCCAUGGGAAUCUUUAAUUUCAUAUUCGCUUUCUCUUUGUCAUGAUACAGAUUUGCUCAUUAUCUGUUCGAAAACGGGAGCUAUGAGGAAGCCAUGGAGCACUUCCUGGCAUCUCAAGUAGACAUCACGCAUGUACUCUCCAUGUAUCCGUCCAUCCUUCUUCCUAAAACAACAAUGAUUCCUCCACCGGAUAAGAUGUUAGACAUUUCUGGAGAGGAAGCAUCUCUGUCAAGAGGCUCAUCCGGAUUUUCUGAUGAUAUGGAGUCUUCAUUUUUGGAAUCUGAAGGCAAUGCAGCUCUUGAGUCUAAGAAAAUGAGCCACAACACUCUGAUGGCUCUUAUAAAGUACUUGCAGAAGAAGAGACCAAGUAUUAUCGAGAAGGCUACUUCUGAAGGAACAGAAGAGGUCAUUUCUGAUGCCGUUGGCAAAACUUACGGAGCGUAUGACUCUUCCAAGACUAAGAAGUCCAACAAGGUAAUAAUAGCUGAUUGAUGAGAGAUGACUACUUGGAUGAUGAUAACAUUUUUGAACAACUUUUUAUCUGCAGGGACGUGGUACGAUCUCGCUUAAUUCAGGUGCGAGGGAGAUGGCAGCGAUUCUUGAUACAGCUCUUCUCCAAGCACUUCUACACACUGGGCAGUCUGGAGCUGCUGUAGAGUUAUUGAAAGGUGUCAACUACUGUGACGUAAAGAUUUGUGAGGAGAUUCUAAUGAAAAGCAAAAGUUAUUCUGCACUGUUAGAAUUGUUCAAGAGCAAUUCGAUGCACCAUGAAGCCCUUAAGCUUCUUAAUCAGCUCUCGGAAGAGUCCAAAUCAAACCAGUCACAAACUGAAAUGAAGCAGAUCUUUAGUCCUGAGUUGAUCAUUGAAUAUCUCAAGGUAGGUGAUUUUUCUCCUUGCCUAUCUUUAGAUACUAAGAAACAGCUGUGAUAUGCUUAACUGUUUGUUGGUGGGAUUCGUAUUUUGUAGCCUCUCUGCAGGACUGAUCCUAUGCUUGUCUUGGAGUACUCUAUGCUUGUCUUGGAGAGCUGUCCAACACAAACCAUCGACUUGUUUUUGUCUGGAAACAUCUCGGCCGACCUUGUCAAUUCGUAUCUGAAGCAGCAUGCUCCCAAUAUGCAGGGUAGAUAUUUGGAACUUAUGAUGGCAAUGAAUGAAACCGCAGUUUCUGGGAAUCUCCAAAACGAGAUGGUGAGGAAAUAGCAUUUUCAUUGCGCUUACGUCUACAUAUUUGCUGGAAGUAACAAUUUGGAUGAUGUUAAACAGGUACAAAUCUACCUUUCAGAAGUGCUUGACUUGCAUGCUGCAUUAAGCGCGCAGCAGAAAUGGGAUGACAAGGACCAUCCUCCAGAAAGGAAAAAACUAUUGUCUGCAUUAGAGAACAUCUCCGGAUAUAAUCCACAGACUUUGUUGAAGCGUCUCCCACGUGAUGCUCUCUAUGAAGAGCGUGCAGUUAUAUUGGGUAAAAUGAAUCAACACGAGCUUGCUUUGUCCAUCUAUGUUCAUAAGGUACCUAUCAAUAAUCUUCUCCUGUCACCAAACAAUCUUCUACCUCUUGCUUAUGGCUUAACUCGUUGGUUGUUUGUCUUAUAGCUUCAUGCACCUGAUCUGGCGCUGGCUUACUGUGAUCGUAUAUAUGAGUCUGUAUCUUUUCUACCAUCUGGAAAACCGUCAAGCAACAUCUACCUCACACUGCUGCAAAUCUACCUGAAUCCCAAGAAAAGCGCAAAGGACUUUGCAAAACGGAUUGUAGCUCUAGGAUCAUUCGAGAGUUCAGACACCACGAAGAUGAUGGAGUCUGUUUUGUCUUCGAAAGUCAAAGGAGGCAGGUCCAAGAAAAUUGUUGCGAUAGAAGGUGCUGAGGAUAUGAUGCGAGCUGGUCUUAGUAGUAGCACUGACAGUGGAAGAAGCGACGUUGAUGUUGAAGAGCCCAUGGAAGAAGGAAACUCCACCGUUAUGAUUUCUGAAGUUCUUGAUCUGUUGAGCCAAAGGUGGGAGAGGAUCAAUGGUGCACAGGCUCUCAAGCUUUUACCUAGAGAAACUAAACUGCAGAACCUGCUUCCGUUUCUUGCACCCCUUCUAAGAAACUCAAGUGAAGCACACAGGAACUAUUCAGUUAUCAAGAGUUUGAGGCAGAGUGAAAACUUACAGGUAUAUGUUUUGUGUUCAGGAAGCAAAAGAUCUCUUUAUGUUCUCUUGGAUGAUGAAUCAUAAACACUUAAUAGGAUUGAUUGCAAAUUUUAUGUUGAAACAAAUAGGUGAAAGAGGAACUGUACAAACACAGGAAAGGAGUGGUGCUAGUAACAAGCGACAGCAUGUGUUCGUUGUGCAACAAGAAGAUUGGGGCGAGCGUCUUUGCUGUUUAUCCCAACGGGAAAACGUUAGUUCACUUUGUCUGCUUCAAAGAUUCUCAAGGCAUGAAAGCUGUCUCUAAGACAUCUCAUGGAAGAAGACGAUGAGAUGAUCAUUUACUGUAAGUCUGUAACUAAACACAUGGAAGUCGUUUCCUUGUUUAUCAGUGUGUAGAGCUUUUUGAGCUUUAUUGUUUGUUAUCAUCUUCCCUUUUUUGUGUUUGGGUGAAAAAGAUACGAUGAUCUUGAUGAAAACCAGUUUGCUCUUGUUGUAAAAUCCGUUGGGUUGGAAAUUAAUUUAUAAAAAUGAUGAUGUGUUUUUUUUUUGUUUAGAAAACAUGUAUAAACUUCUUAAACUAAACAUGAUGCAAAAUCUUAUUUGCUUUUCUUUUUAACAACAAAAAUGAAUUUCGAUUGAUAAACAUUUUGAGUGCUAAUCGAUCAGAUUAUUAUAUCAACUAAUUAAUAAAAAUAUAUUAUAUCGUUUAGAACAAGUUUACACAAAAACAGUAAACAAAAUUUUAGUGAAGAUGCUCAAGCAAAAAUUAGAUUACAGUUUCUUAUUUAAAAAGCUUUAGAGAAAGCGUGGAGGCUUGAGCAAGUAGAUAUCUCUCACCAACCCUUUACCCAUUUUGCCUACCGCCUUUAACAUCUCUAUUGGAUUAGUUUCCACUUCAUCUCGUCCUCGUUUCUGUAAUCAAUCAUUACAUAUUUCAUCUCUUCUUCUUUUCGAAGUGUAAAGUGUUCGUUUAAUUCACUUGUCUGUGUCUGACGUGGGUUCGGCUCUCCAAAUGACAAAUUUUUAGUAUUUUAACUAAAACGAAGUCGUUUUAACUCUCCCUCAUAUGUCAUCUCUGCCUAGACAUUGACGCAUUCAAAAAUAACGGUUGACUAACCAAACGUUAGUCAAAAUAGUUUUUUAUGGAAUUCAAACUCACUACAAGAAUUCAUUAAAUUAGCUAUGGGUUGGCAAAGGCAUUUUCGUAGCCAAUUCUUUUACCUACAGAUAUAGUGACAAAACACAUAAUUUUAACUUUGUAGCUAAAUAUGUGGCUAACUGGACCAAUCCGUAGCUAUAUACCUAUAGACGGAUUCCAUUGGUGGUCUAUAGCUAAAUAGCUACACAUUAGCCAGAGAUAAGUGGUUGCUUUUUUUUUUUGUCAUCUUUGAAUUUCAUUUAACUUAAACUGAAGUACCAUCGUUACAUGACAAAAGUCAACAAGAGUCGCAACUCUUCCGAAGACCAUAGCCGGCGAUUUCACAUAUCGAAAAUCCCAGAGACCCAUAUUGAAAACAUAAAUAGAAACCUUACUUUAAAGACUAACACAAAAAGGGAUAAUAACUUGAAAUACUUAAAGAUCAAAGGAACUCAAACCGAAAUCCAUAACUGCACCAGGUCGCCAACCAUAACCAAGAACCUGAAGACGCACGAGUUGAACUCAAAACCAGAGACUUGAGAAGACCACAAUCCAUCAAGGUCACAACCACAACCUCACGAGAAACAACACCGGCGGAAACAAUCAAAAACCAAGGCGCAGAAGGAUCCAAUAACAACCACUACCGCGUCUGCACUAAGACCACGAACAACCCAAGAGAGGAAAGGUACAAGGUCGAACCUUGAAACUCCAAGCGGGGAAAACGACUAGCAUCAAUUUUUUUUAUUUAUAUAGCUAUGACUUAGCUAAAGAAACAUAGUAUCUAAACUUUAUAACUAUUUAGCAAUAAAACACUCUGCAGCUAUGUCGUUGCUGUUAAGCAACAAAACACGUUGUAGCCAUGCAGUCGCCGAUAGCUACAACUAGUUUUCUUGCAAAAUUUGUCGCUAGCAAGCUACAGAAUGGCGACGGAUCGGGUUUAGCAUUGACGCUGACGCCACGGUUCCAAUCCGUAGCAAUCCGUCGCCUUUUGCAUUAUAGCUACAUAUUUUUCUUUCUAGCUACGAAAAAAUCCGUAGCUAUAUGGUUGAUGUCUUAUAGUGAUUAUCGUUCAGUUCGCGUAUGAAAUUCAAAUCAUUAUUCAGUUUGGGUAUGAGAUCGCAAUUAUUCAUUUUUCAGGUCUAAAAAAAGGCACGACCGAAAUUGUACGAGUUGAAAUCACACUUUUCAUUUAUCCUACAAAGCAUGGUUUAAUGGUUAACUAACCAUAAGUUAGUCAAGGUAGGAUUUUAUAUAACGGAGUCAAGUUUGGGUCAAAAAAUCACAGUUCAAGAAUAAUUUUGCACUUAUGAUUUGUUUGGAUCUAAAAAAGCAUGACUCAAAUUGUUAGGGUCUAAGAAUGUCUUUUUCCCUACGAACAUGCCCCCAAAAUUUUCAUAUGAUCAAAACCUUUUUUUUUGCAAAGAUAUCUUAUAUAUUAAAAAAGAAGUCAUGACUUCUUUUCAUGUGUGAUUUUUUUAGUUCGGACCAUUCCUAGAAAAUAUCAUAUUUAACAUAAAUUUAUUAUUAUAUCUUAAAAUAUCUUUAUCUUUUUAUUUGAAAUACAAAUGAAUAUAUUUAAAAUAUUCUAACAAAAUCUUUUUAAAUCUUUUUAAAUUUACUUUCAAAAAUUAGUUAGUUUUAAUUAAAAUUAUAUAAAAUAUAAUUAGAAAUUAAAAUUGAAUAUAGUUUUGGUUUAUAAACGAAAAUUUAAAUAAAAUGAAAUUAAUAAAUUUCACAAAUACAUUUACUAAUAAUUUUAAAAGAUUUUUGUUAGAAAUAAAUAUUUAUAUUUAUAUUUAUUUUAUUUUUUUCAAAAAAAAAUUCUAAUAAAAUAAAAAUCAUGAUUUUUUGAUGAGUGAUAUUUUUAUUUGGACCAUCAUUUAAAUUUUAUAUUAAAUGUAUAUCACUAAUGCUAAUAUACAUAAUAUUUUUAACUACUUUAAUCAUAACAUCUUUUAUAUCUUUUAAUUUUUUUAAAAAAAAAUUAAAAUUCUAACAAAUCUCUUUAAAAAGAUUAUAAUAAGAUCUUAAUUGUCAUAAAUUGAAUAUAAAUAUUUUCAGCAAAUUUUGUAAUUAGUAAUGAAAUGUUACUAAAAGAAUAAAAUUAUAUCCUAUUUUAUCAAUUUUAUAAUAAUAUCUAUCAUUUAAAAAUAAAAAUAUUAUAUUGAACAAAAUAUGAUAAAAUUAUUUUAAAUUGAUAAGUUAAAAUAUUUUACUUUCAUAAAUAUAAAAUAUUUAUGCUAAAAAUAUAAUAUGUUGGUAGAACGGGUUAAUAUUAGUAAAAUAUAUAAUGCAUGUAUAAAAUUUAACUUAUCUUAAACUUUUUAAAAUACAGUAAUUUAUUAUAUAAAAUUAAUAAACAUUAAAAAAUUACUAAAAAAAUCUAGCGAUUUGAAUUACGGAUCAUAAUUAUAAUAAAUUAAAUACAAAAUUGUUUUCAUAUAUGUUGUUUCAUGCACUAAAAAUUUUAGUUUAGUAAUCAAACGCAAAUUCAAUAAGACAAAUAUAUAAUAAGCAGCAUAUAUAUGUGAUGAUUUUAAUUUACAGCAUGAAAACUAUAAAAUUAUUAUAUUUGGUAUAAUUAUACAAACAUUUAAAUAUGUGAGUAACAUUAAAAAUAUAUAAUAAUUAUGUAAAACAAAUAUCUAUAUAUAUAAAUGUGAAAAUAUAUACCCGCACGGUUGUGCGGGUGGAAAUCUAGUUUAAUCUAUUAAAAACAUUAAAAAAAUUAUUGAUUCAAAAAUAUAUGCCUGACUAGUCUACGAAUUUUAUUUGAUUAUUCUGACAAGUAUAUACAAUAUACCUAUAAAAUUGAAACUAGAUAAAUGUAACCACAAAAUUGCUAAUGCCAGUAACCUUUGUAUCGAACUUAAUACAUAUUUUAAAAACCACAAAAUAGUUAAAAUAAGAAAAAAAAAGUUAUUAAGCUUUUGGUCUAUAAUAAUAUGCUGAAGUAGUCACUAAGGGGGGUUAUUGGGAGAUGAAUAUGUGUAGAAUUUGUGAAUUUUAAGAAUCCACUAGAUCUCGACCCGUGCAACCGCGCGAUUUUUUGUUUUUAUUUAUUUUUAUAUAAAAAUUUUAUUUUCAAUUCUAAAUUGGUAUAUAUUAUAAUAUAUGUGUCUAGCAACUUUUAAAACAUAAUAAGUUUAUGAUAUAUUUUUUUCAUUGAAUAGAUUAUUUUAAACUUUCAUAUGUAUUUGUAUCUUCUUCUAUAUAUAUAUUUUCGAAUUAUUAUUUCAUUAUUAAAAUUGUAACUAUAUAUAUAAGAUUAGUAAAAUAUUGUUUUAUUGUCAUAUUCAAAGAUAUUGUAACAUUUCACAAAUUUAGAAAGUUUUUAAAAACUUUUCGGUUCAUAGAUUUAUAUUAUUGAGUAAAUAAUUAAACAUUUAGUUUUUGCUUAAUUUUUUAAAUAAGCUAAAUAGUUUAAAAUUUGUUUUCAUUGGUUUAAGGUAGUAAAGAUUAAUCAUUGUUAGAUAAUAUGAUUUUUUUAUUUAAAAAAAUCUUUAAAAUCUUAAUAAUUUUAAAAGUUAACAUCGACAAAUAUUUAAAUAUUUAACAUAUGGAUGUACAGUAUCACAUUUUUGAAUAUAUAAUUAUUUUUAAAAAUAUUAUAUUUUUAAUAUAAAUAAUAAAAAUUACAUUUACAAAUCUUAAUAAUUUUAAAAUCGUUUAAAAAAAACAUUUUCGUAUUUAAAAGAGAAAAAUUUCAAAAAAACUAUUUUUCUAAAUAUAAAAAUUAUAAAAAUGUUCUAAUUUGAAAAAAAAUAUAAAAACAACUUUUAUUUUUUUCUUAUUUUUAUGACUUAUACAUCUAUACCGUAAGAAAUCUAGUUUAAUCUAUUAAAAACAUUAAAAAAAUUAUUGAUUCAAAAAUAUAUGCCUGACUAGUCUACGAAUUUUAUUUGAUUAUUCUGACAAGUAUAUACAAUAUACCUAUAAAAUUGAAACUAGAUAAAUGUAACCACAAAAUUGCUAAUGCCAGUAACCUUUGUAUCGAACUUAAUACAUAUUUUAAAAACCACAAAAUAGUUAAAAUAAGAAAAAAAAAGUUAUUAAGCUUUUGGUCUAUAAUAAUAUGCUGAAGUAGUCACUAAGGGGGGUUAUUGGGAGAUGAAUAUGUGUAGAAUUUGUGAAUUUUAAGAAUCCACUAGAUCUCGACCCGUGCAACCGCGCGAUUUUUUGUUUUUAUUUAUUUUUAUAUAAAAAUUUUAUUUUCAAUUCUAAAUUGGUAUAUAUUAUAAUAUAUGUGUCUAGCAACUUUUAAAACAUAAUAAGUUUAUGAUAUAUUUUUUUCAUUGAAUAGAUUAUUUUAAACUUUCAUAUGUAUUUGUAUCUUCUUCUAUAUAUAUAUUUUCGAAUUAUUAUUUCAUUAUUAAAAUUGUAACUAUAUAUAUAAGAUUAGUAAAAUAUUGUUUUAUUGUCAUAUUCAAAGAUAUUGUAACAUUUCACAAAUUUAGAAAGUUUUUAAAAACUUUUCGGUUCAUAGAUUUAUAUUAUUGAGUAAAUAAUUAAACAUUUAGUUUUUGCUUAAUUUUUUAAAUAAGCUAAAUAGUUUAAAAUUUGUUUUCAUUGGUUUAAGGUAGUAAAGAUUAAUCAUUGUUAGAUAAUAUGAUUUUUUUAUUUAAAAAAAUCUUUAUUGUUUUAAAAGUUAACAUCGACAAAUAUUUAAAUAUUUAACAUAUGGAUGUACAGUAUCACAACAUUAAAUUAUAUCUAUUUAAUUUAUAAUAUCUAUAAAUCCAAUGGAUCAUCUAUUUUUUAAGUCCAAUUAUUGAUAGCCCAAUAAAAUUUUUAGUAGGCCCAAAAUUUAAAUGAUAAGAUUAGAUAUUUAAUGUAACAUGACUUUUUAAGAAUAUGUUUAUUAGGUCAAUUUUUAUAAAAAAUCACACAUUAAUCAAGGUUGUGACUUUUGUUUUACUAUAUAAGAUUGUUAUUGGUUCUUGAAUUUCAAAAAUCUUAUAAAAUAGUCUUUUACAUUUUUAAUGAAACUUCUUUUGGUCAUUUUUUUAAUGUUCUUUUGUGACAAAAUCUUUUAAAAUGGCUAUUUAAGAAAAUUGUUCAAUUUUGUAUGUAUCAAUAUUAUUUUAUUUUUAAUGAAAGAAAUACUCAUAAGACUCACCUUUCAAAAUAUCAUAUGUAUACAUGUGAUUUUCAAAAUCCUUGUGAUAAAAAUACUAGAAAACAAAAUAAUUAUUCUUACUAAAUAUCUAUUGCACGUUAAAUCCAAAUUAUAUGUUCAAAACUAUAAUUCAUUACAUUUAUAUAUUUUAACAUUUUUGAAUAUAUAAUUAUUUUUAAAAAUAUUAUAUUUUUAAUAUAAAUAAUAAAAAUUACAUUUACAAAUCUUAAUAAUUUUAAAAUCGUUUAAAAAAAACAUUUUCGUAUUUAAAAGAGAAAAAUUUCAAAAAAACUAUUUUUCUAAAUAUAAAAAUUAUAAAAAUGUUCUAAUUUGAAAAAAAAUAUAAAAACAACUUUUAUUUUUUUCUUAUUUUUAUGACUUAUACAUCUAUACCGUAAGAGGUAAAAUAGUCUUUUACAUUUUUAAUGAAACUUCUUUUGGUCAUUUUUUUAAUGUUCUUUUGUGACAAAAUCUUUUAAAAUGGCUAUUUAAGAAAAUUGUUCAAUUUUGUAUGUAUCAAUAUUAUUUUAUUUUUAAUGAAAGAAAAAAAUAAAUAUAUUCUAUAUUUAUUUUACAAAAAAUGAUAGAAAAGAGGUAAUACAAAUUCAUGAAAAUCUAUAUCAAUCUAUAAAAUUUAUGAUCAAAUUUCAUAAGUUAAUGUAUAUAAAUUUUCACAAUCCAUAUAAGUUUUUUAAAUCUAUCAACUCUCAAAAUUCACAAACUCUACACAAAUUCAUCUCCGUAAAUAUGUUAAAACGCCUGUCUUGUGUGCAAUUUCUUUCUACGGUUCAAAAGAUUGUCUCAUUGUCGUGCAUGUUGGGUAUUAUUAAUGAGUCGGUUUUAGAUUUUAAAGAUAACUAGGAUAAGACAUGCGCCUUGCGCAUGGCGAAUUUAUAUGAAAAUUAUUUAAGAAAUAUAUUAUGGAAAAAUAAAAUUUAUAUUUUUGAUCGAAUAAAUAUUUUUGGCCCUUAAAUAUUUUUUUAAAAACUUUUUUGUUAAUUUUAUAAUUUGUUUACUGAUGAGCUUAUCCCAUUUUAAAAAUAUUUUAGGUAAAAAAAUCAUUUAUCGCAUAAGAACCUAACGUUUACGCCGAAGAAUCUCAGGCCUACUAUUUGGUUACAAUGACAAUAUGAGAGCUCGGUUUUAUAUCAUGAUUUAGCAAUUUAAAAAUUAAUUAUAGUUAUGAGAAGUUUACGUUCACGUGUCACUCUUAAAUAUCUUCAAUAUUUUUCUCAUUUUUGUGUCGCUUCUUUCAUUUCGAUUAUUACUCGAUAUAAAUAUUGAUUUUUGAGUUUAUUCUCAUGUCGUUAUUUUGUUUUGGCCUGAGAUUUAGAAAAUGUUUAAGAUUUAAAAUUAUCAAAGAGAAACAUACUUAGGUUAAGAUCCGCGUCUUGAGCAUUACUUAUUUUAUGUCUUUCUGUAUAUUAUGAACUAAAAUAAUAAUAAUUAUUAUAUAUUAUAUAAAUAAGAAAUCAGUUACUAUUAUGUAAUAAAUUAGUCUGCGCAUAUAAAUCAAACGAUCGUUCUUGUUUAUUCGCAAUCAUUCUAUGGUAAAUAAAUCAAAACAAUCAAUCUUAUCUAUCAUAUAUGAUAUAUACUUAAAUUUAAAUGAUAUUAACAUAUAUAUAUAGUAUACUUUUAAUAUGGAUAUUUAUUAAAUGAGGUUUCUACUCAUAUGAUUUUAUGAUUAUUUGCAUAUUUAUGUAACAAAAUUUUACACCAACGAAUUUUUUUAAUGUGGAAUGUUUAGUGGUUUCAAUAAUUUAUAAUCAUUUAAAAAAUGAAGAUUUCAAAAUUAAAAUAUUAACUUUUCAAUAUAUGUUCCACGUAAAUAUUAAAAUAUAAGUGUGUAUUUUCAUAUGAUAUAUAUAGUAUAAUUUAAACGAUAUGAAACAUAUAUAUGUUAACAGAAUCACCUAUUAAAAUUUAAUUAUUUAUUCAUAUGAUUUUAUAAUCAUUGUAUCUUAUUAUAGAAAAAAAUUUAAACCUUGAUCACAAAAGUUUAUGUGAGACUUUUAACAGUUUUAGUAAUUUAUAUUCGUUUUGAAAAAUUCAAAAUACAACAUACACAAAAAAAUCUAAAUUUUUAUUAUAUGAUUAAUGUAAUUAUGUAAUUUAUUUUAAUAAUAAAUAAUUAAACAAAAAUGAUAGAAAGUAUACAGAUUGUUAGCAAAUUUUUAUUAUUUAAAAUCAUUAAUUGAUAUAUUUAUCUUAAUCACAUUAGGUAAUUCUGUAUGUUUUAUUUAAAGAAAGAAUUCAAUUUGAUAAAUGAAUGGUUCAUAAUGGACAUACUAUAUAAUAUAAUAUUAUAUUCCCUAGCAAUUUAAUUUUGGACUAACAAAAUUCUCAAUUGAUUUUCAAGUCGUCACGUAAGCUAAUUUAUCAUUCUAAUUACGUGACAACUCAAUAUGAUAUUUUUUUAAUUAAUACAAACUACACGUUAUAACUUUUUAAAUGUUUCUCUAUUAAUAUAUAGGGGAUUAUGAUUAUUAUUUUAUUACAUAGAUGCAUAUUUGGCCGGCUACAGAGAACUAUAUGAGGUAAAUUACUAGUAAUUUCUUUGGAGGGCGUAUUAAAUUAGUAAUAUGUAUGACUUAAGUUCUUUUUUUUUUGAACAUAAACUGACUUUCAUUCAAUAUUGAUCUUCUUCAAUACAAGGACAAAAGGGAAUUAUCCAUCCUUUUUGGCAAUAAGCAUAAACUACAACACAUAAAUAAGCUAAACAAGGUAAGUUUUCAGAAGAAAAUGACAGCGAAUUCGAGACAAUGCUCGAAUGCGUCGGUAAAACCUUCACGACAAUGUCGGAGAGCUGGAGAAUAGAAUGAGAUGAUAUAUAGAAAUACAAUUGGUGGUCAAACACCAUAAAAAAGUUACAAUAUUGAUAGAAAGAGAAAAAAAACCGUAGGUAUGCCGUGUAUUUUGUUAGUAAGCUACUCUAGUUUUGGCAUGCAUCAUGCAUGCACAACAACACCAUGAUUUUAUAUAUUACCAAGAAAUGUACUUUAGUCACCUACUUAUAAAAUACAUGCAAAUGGAGGGUCAAGAAUAGAAUAAGAUAAGAAGUCACGUGAGUGAAGAGAGACGACAAGAAAAUGUGAAAUUACAAAGUCGAACACUUAGUGUCUUGGGGUGAUCGUUAGUUUUGGUGUUCCAAGAAGCAAAUUGUCAAGGUCUGUGUGUGUGUGAGAGAGAAGCAUAUUUUGGGAAAGCGGUGUGGUCGUCUCAGUUGAACCAAGAAAACAUCAAUCUCAAGACCGAUCCGAUUCUCUUUGUUCCCUCUCUCUCUGGGUCUCUUGGUGUUGUUUAAAUCUUUAUAUUCAUCAUACUCUCUCCAGUUACACGUAUUUUUGUCCGUUCAUGUUUGGCGGCACACGUCCUCCAACAAGAUUUUUUGUUUUUAAAUCUUAAAACCAAAAUUGAUGAUUAUUUUUUGCUUUGUUUACGUACUACAAACUUAGUUGACAGGCAAUUUUAAAUUUAAAAGACUAGAUGACACCGCAUUUAUGUUAAAAGGUCCACACGGUAAAUAAGAUGUAUGUAUCUAAUAUCUUAGAUAUCAUACUAAGCAUAAUAAUUAAGUUUAUACAGUGAAUCUUCUUCUUUGAAAAUUUUAUAUAUUGAAUCUUCUUCUUUAAAAACAAAAAAAAUGAUGAUUUUUUUGCAGGCAAUGAAAAUGUUGACUGUUAAUUUUAAAAGAUCGAUAUAUAACUUAAUACUAGAUUUUGACCCGCGCGCUUGCGCGGGUGUAUAUUUUGAAAAAUAUGUUGAUAUUUGUUUUUCAUGUAAUUAUUAGGAUUUGGAAAAAUGAAUCCGAGGAACAUAACCGAUACCGAUCCAAAGAUAUAGUACCAAACCCAAACAUAAAUUGAUUAAAUAUUCUAAUUAUUCAAAAUUUUGUUAUUUAGAGAACCGAAUCUGAUCCGAACCGAAGUAUUUGGGUAUCCGAAUUUAUCUAAAAAUAGAUUUAUAUACUUAUAUAUAUUAAUUAUUUUUAGAUUUAACGUAUAUAAAACAUCAAAAAUGAUACUUUUAAAUUGGUUUAAAUACUUGAAAAUAUAUAUAGAUAGUCAAAAGUAAAUAUCUGAAAUAGUUAAAGUAUACUCAAAUCACCAAAAAUACUUAAAAUAAUUAUUGAUUUCGUAUCCAAAAUUUUAAAUCAAGCCAAUUGAUAUGUUAAGCUUAAGUAUUAUGACAUAUGUUAUUCAAAUUUAUACGUAAUAUAUUAUUUUAUUUAUACAUUUUGAGAAAUUUAAAAUAUAUAAUGAUUUAAGACUUUAAAAAUAAUUUAAAUUAGUUAUCCAAACCCAAACCAAACCCGCAAAGAUCCAAAUCGAACUCAAACCAAAAUUUAGAAACAUUCUAAUAAGGCUGAAAUCUUUGACCCCGAAAACCCAAAAUACAAACCGAUCAGAACUAAACCCGUAUGGGUAUCCAAAAGCCCAUCCCUAGUCAUUAUUAUAUAUCGUAUUUUAUCAUCAUAUAAUUAAUCGUAUUUUAUAUGUACCAUCAUAUAAGUAAUCAUAUAAUUAAUAGUAUUUUAUACAUACCAUCAUAUAAAUAAUUACAUAUAUUAUAUUUUUAAAACUUAAUAUGAAAUAUGAAAACCAUAAUUUGAGUUGGUAUUUCAAAUUGGGCUUUGUAUUAUAUUUUUCUUAUAUAUAUUGACAAUAUUUUUUUAUAAUGGUUAUUGAAAAAUAGUUUAGUAAAAAUCCAUUUUUGAAUAUAUGUAUAUUUUUGAAUCAAUUUUUGAUAUAAAUCAAAUUUGAAUUAUUAUUUUGAUUUGAAAUAUGUAUAUAAAGUUUAAAUUUUGUUUUAUGGUUAGUUUAGAAAAUUUUUUUUUAGGGAAUUAGAUUGACCCAUUUUGGUAUAUUUUAAAAGUGGCCUAGAUAACUUUCAAUUUUUUAAAAAAACAUAAGUCCAUUACUUUUUUUCUUAAUACUACUAUCCUUGUUUUCAAACAAAAAUAUUUUUUUUUAAAAGACUGCAAUCCAUGUUUCCAAACACUCCAAAUUUUUAAAAGUCCUAUUCAAGUUUCCAAACACUCCAAUUUUGUACUUGAGUUUUAAUAAGAUAGAUGUUAUAGUAAAAUGAUCCAAAAUCGACAUAGAACAUCCAAAACGUUAUUAAAGUUCGGCUAAAUACGUUUUGAGGGAAUCUGUUAAAAAAAUUAUCAUCACAAAUAUAAGAUGUAGCUUAUAAUAUGAAUUGUAAAUCCAAAAUUCAAAAUUGUACUUUUCAGGUCAGGAUUAACUGUUGGUUAUAAUACCACAAUAACAGUUCAAAAACUUACUUCAUAAUCUGAAUAUUUUUUUUGUGAAACUGUCAAACUUGGAGAAAACCUAAGUUGUGUAAUAGUUUCUUUCAUCUUAUUAACUUAGCCAAUAUGUUUAUUUAUACAAAUACACAACUUGUAUAGCAAAUUCUUUACAUAAUAGAAUAACAAAUCUAACUUAUACAUUAAUGCUGGCUUUCUUAAUAGUUACAUGAAAAUAUAUUCUAGGUGAUUUUGUAAUCUCCGAGAUCUCUUAAUAAAAACUCAAAUCUGAUUUUUAUUCUUCCGUAAUAAGUCUACGUACCCUUUUGAUCAAACUGUUUCCCGCUUAGAUCAAACUCAGCUGUUUUGCGUAUUGUAAAACUAUGUACAAAACAACAUAGAUCUGAUCCAAUAAAAGAAAAAGAAGAUAAAUGAUAAAGAAAACAUAAAACUUUUCUGUAGAUCUACAGAUUGCACUCAUUUGAUGAGUUCAUUCUCUUUGUACCCUUUUUAUUUUAUAUUUUAAAUUCGAGUUGGAGUUUGCUUCUUUGACUAACCAAUAGAAUCUAUAUCUCGCCAAGCUAAAGAAAGAACACAAUGUUGUUGCUUUUAAAUCAUUGCAAAGUAUCUCAACCGGGUCACCUUUACCUUUAUCCCUUUAUAUUUCACUUCUAACCUGAACAUUGGCUAGUUUUAUUCCCUGACUCCUUAAAAGCACCAAUCUUGACCAUUCAUAUCUCUCAUGCAUUGGCCACAAUCGUGACAAUGAUAAUGUUCAAAUGCAUAUAAAGUUUGUAACGACUAAAGUACGCGUGAAUGUUCAGUUUUACAAUCGUUUGGUAGUAAAUAUUUAGUGUCUUUUUGAGUGAGCUUUCGAUAAGAGUUAUAAUAUUUUUCAAUAGUCUCAUGGUAACAAACCAGUUGAUUCACACUUUAUUAUAAUUUUAUUCAAAUUUCUAGACAUUUCAUCUAAGACUAAAUUGAAAAUGAGUGUUAUAGAUAUAUGAUAUCGCUAUUAUCUGAAUACGGAAUACAAAAUGACGUUUUUGAAUGACAUAACUUAAGCAUAAGAAUGAGAGCCUUUAUCACACAGAUUAUAAAUUAUAAUGCGUGUUAUACUUUAACAUAACCUAUUGCGGUGAACGUUAUCGCCAUAAGGACAUAUAUAAAAAGACACUGCAAAAAUGAGAGUAUUACACGUCGAGUUGGUGAAGCAAGCGAUGACGUGUGGAAGAAGGGGACUGAGAUAUUCGGCUUUGGAGAUAGAUGAUCGUGAUCGGAGAGAGACCAGAUCCUUAGAAGACCGCGACGUCCCCCAGUCACGUGGUCCUCUUUUGACUACAUUCUCUCUUUAACUGCAGAUUGAGCUUGUCAUUAUUAUUUCCUACUUUACCAUUUUAAUAAUUAAAUUAAAUAUCUUCUUUAAUUCAUUAUAACACUGUAGUUUGCUUAGCAGUGUUAACAACAUUUCGUCCGUGCAAAAAGUAUUGUUUAAGGUGAAAUAUAUAUUUAACCAUAAAUGUUUGUCCAAAACCAUAUCUUCGCGCUGCGGUUAUUAUAAUCUACUUAUUGAUUUAAUAGAAGCAUACAUGAAAGAAAAUGAAUGCGAAAUUGUUUAAGAGAUAUGAUAAAAUAACUUAAUGUAUUUGCUACAUUAGAUACUAAAGCGUUCUGUAGGUAAAAGUUAUGAUUUGUAUACGUGACUUCCUUUCUACUUAAGUUAGAUUUCUAUGUAUAAAAUUAUUAGCGUUGUUAUUUAGAUCACCAACCGGACAGUUUUUAAUCCGAAAUAACGUAACUUCAACAAAAGGUCUAUCUUAGAACUGAACCAAAGACCCAACACUAUAUAAAAUACUCAUAAUUGUAACAUCUUUUUAGACAAAAAGAAAAGAAGCAAACCCAUCUAAAUCUAGAGAAUAAACAGAAAAAGAAAGAAAAAAAAACAAUAUGGAUUCAGUUAUACGUUACAUAUAUAACACCGGGACCAAGGUUUGCUCUAUUGUCGACUUAUACCCAAGCUCUAUAAAUACUCUCGCCUAUCUCCACUUCACACAGCAACGUGUAUUCCUUUGUUUUCUACCUGACUCCUCUUUCACCGUUUCCUUAUAACCACUACACAAAACAGACACACACUUCUCUUUGUAUCUCUCAAAAACAAGAGUUUCCUUCUAGUGUUUCGACGAUCAUAUAUCUACAUAUAAUGAUGGGUUUCUCAAUGUUCUUCUCCGAAAACGAUGGUGUCCAUCACUCUUCGGCUUAUGCUUCUGUUGACUGCACUCUCUCUCUUGGAACUCCUUCAACUCGCCUCUGCAAUGACGACGAUGACCGUAGAUUCUCGUCUCACACUUCCAACAAUAUGUCCAACGCCUUAGGCUCAUGGGACUUCUUGCACGGUGGCAAGAAAGGCGGUGGUGGCGGCGGAAAUAACCUAUUGGCUCGUCGUUGCGCUAACUGUGACACCACUUCUACACCUCUUUGGAGAAACGGUCCAAGAGGUCCCAAGGUAUAUAAUAUGCACCCAUUACAUCAAUAUUUAUAUAAAACCAUAUACUAUAUGGUCCAUUUUAAAAAAAUUCUACAUCCAUUAUAACUUUUUUAUUUUUAAUUUGGUCAGUCAUUGUGCAAUGCGUGUGGAAUCCGAUUCAAGAAGGAAGAGAGACGUGCGUCGACCGCCAGAAACUCUACUUCCGGCGGAGUAUCAACCGCAGCGGCUGGCGUUCCGGCCUCCGAUCAUCACGGAGUUACAAAUUAUUACUAUAAUAACAACAAUAAUAAUAACAAUCAUUAUGAUUCAUCGUCGCCUUGGAUUCACCACCAACAUCAAAAUACGCAAAGAGUUCCUUAUUACUCGCCAGCGAAUAACGAAUAUUUCUUUCGUUGAUGAUGUCAGAGACGAUAAUAAUGACCUCACGUCCGACCCGUUCUUGUCUUGGAGGCUUAACGUAGCCGACCGGGCCAGCCUUGUCCACGACUUUCCAAUGUGAUGAAUGAUCGUCACAUAGAUUUUUCCCAUUAAAUGUCUUAGCCUUGUAUACCACCUUAAUUCUACCAACAAUAACAAAAAGAAACCAUGGCCUUGGCCAAAGUAUUUAAUUUUUACUCUUUAUUUCACAUCCCUUAUAUAUUAAAAGAGAAGCAUUGUAAUAAAUGCAUUCACAUUAUAAUAGACACGUGGCAGCUUCACAAUGAUUUGAUAAUAAAUAUGUUAACGCGUUCACACUAUAAUCAUAAAUGUGUUCACACUACGUACUUUGUUAUUUUUUUAAUAUAAAACUCACAUACAUAGUUCCAAUAAAACUCUAGAUUUUUCGGUUCGAAUAAAAAUAGAUAACGAAUCAAAAGCUAAACUAUAUAUAUAUUAUUUUUAUUGUUUACGGAUAAAAUUGAGCAAAAUAUUCAUAAAUUUUGAUUCGAUUUGUUAUCCGUUUUGAUUUGAACCAAAAAAUCUUGAUAUUUGAAACUCUACGAAACAAAUCAAAUACUAAAAUACAAUAUCCAAAAAAGAAGCAAAUCACAAAUACCAAAAUUUUUAGGAUCAUUUAAUAUUAAUUAACUAUAUCUUUAUAUAUUUUUCAACUAUUUUUAUAUACUUUUUACAUAAAUAUACAUGUGCACCUUGAUGUGAGCAUCUUAUAACUAAGUAUUCACCACAGCUGAAGUAUCUAAUUUUUUUGAAAGUUGAAAUAUUUUUUCUUAAUGUUUCUUUCACUAUUGACCAAAUUGUAGUUAAAUGAUUUGUCUUAAUAAUUUUCUUUUCUUUUUCUUAAACUAUUAUCUGUUUAAAAACUAUAAUAUGAAACUAUUGGUUCGACAUGACGACUAUCUAAACUUCAUAAUAUAAAAAUAAACAUAUAAUAUUAAUUUUAGGUUUUUAUCCGAAAAAACCUAAAAAUCAAAUGUUUUAACCGAAUAAACUAAAAUGAAUAUUAAUUUAAAAUAAUAGUUAUAUUUUAGAAGAUUAAAAACAAAAAAACGUAAAACCUAACUAAUAUCCAGAUUAAACAGAUUUAUUGCCUUUUUUAUUAAAAAUAACGAAACUAAUAAUCACAUCCCGCGCAAGGCGCGGGUUAUUACCUAGUCUACUAAAUGUUUUGUUUGGUAUUUAUGUAAGUUUUCUAAAUUUAAAUUCCGUACGAAGGACUUGUGUGUUCUUUUAAUUUCAAAACGUUUCUAAUGUUCUCUCGGGUAAAUGAACGAGUGAUACUUGUACCUACUUUAUAACCUUCUAAGUACGUAUGCUCUACUCUGACCACGAUUCAAGAUCAAAUCUCUUUCGCUUAGUAUAGUGCAAACUUCGUUUCUGAUUCAUAUAUAUCCUUAAGUUCUGUCUUGUACUAUUUUUCUUAUAUUUCAACUAACAACUAUUAAAACAUAUUUGAAAAACAAUUAUUAAAACACAGGAUUCCACUAAAAAUUGUAAAUUCAUGUAUAUUUAUGAGGAAAUUUAGAAGAACCGUAGUUUUGUCUGAUUCUUAGAGCAAGACGAUCAAUAUGGGUCUAUUCAUCAACACUAGUUCUCGUAGUAACUCUAUAGCCAACAUUCAGUUUUCUGACAUGAGUGAAAUUUAGAAAUUGUACAAAGUCAUUCUUUGUAAUAUUUUCAGAAUGCAUCUGAUAAGUAUUUGACAUAUUUUUCCAAACUGAAAAAAUUAAUACUAGAAAUAAAUUCACAAAUAAAAAGCAAAAAAAAAAAAUUAUGCGAAGAAUAUAUGCAUGAUGGACAACAAGAAUGUUUAUAGUAUUAACGCCAAAGUUGUCUUGGAAAUUUAGCCAUAUGGUAUCAGUACUAAGAACAAUAAUCUGGUUAAUUGUCAAAUGAUGAGACUCGGCUCCUCUCUUAUGUUUCCCAUCAGCUCUGAUUUUGCAAUACAAAUAUUCAUGAAUUAUUGUAAGAAAAAAACAAGAUAGGUAAAAUAAAUUUGGAUCAGAAACACAAACUCCUAGCUGAGACUUGUCAAAUGGCAGAAAGUACUCAACGUUGUAGUCUCCAUGAUAAAGUCAUUUGAACUCCUACACCACAGUAGCAUAGCACAUAAGUAAGCCGAUAACAAAACUAUAAAAACUAAUCCACAUACCAUGCUACUAGUAUGAUCUUAUAUAAACAGUAUUGUGAAUUAUUAUAAAAUGUUCAUACAUGUGAUGCAUGUCUCAUUUCUCUACUCCGACUAACUAGUAUGAUAUUGAUAAAUAGGUCAUGUUCCUAUUUAAUGCAGAAUAGUUGGUUGCUUGCACACAUAAGUAAUUUAUUUACACAAAAUGAAAUUCACUAUAGGUGCUGGGAAAGCAAGAUGAGGAGAGAAAGAAAUAGAAAGGAAAUGGAUUCCAUGAGAGUAACCAGAAAGCAAAAAGAUAUGAAAAGGAUGUGAAAGAACUCGACAUGGAUCAAACUCAAGCAGCAGUCUUUGAAGUGUCGAUGCUUGAAUAAUUUACAAUAUUAUCGUAUUCAGCCGAAAGUAAUAUACUAGUAUAUAGGUACUAUCAUAAGCUAUUCAUCACAUACAAUCUUUUCUUUUAGUAAUAAACUAAACAUCUUGUAAAAUAUCAUUACAAACUGAACGCGCGAAUAAUGUCAAUCUCUGAAAAUAUCUUCAUGUGAAAAAAACAGUGUAGAUUUAGGCAUUUACUGGAGAAGAACAAAAAGGUGGACCACUCAACGGGUUGCGACGAAAUACAAAGUCUUACACAAACGUUGAUAAUUUGCAUUUGCGAAGGUUGUGGUCACAAACGUUAUAUCUCACUCAUACCAUGUGAUGUGACUACCACACACUCCUCCAAUGUUAUUUACAUUGUAGUUUCUUUUGGGGUUAAAUUAUUGCAAGAUACAACAUGCAUGGGACCAAUCUUGGCGAUAAUGUCAAUUUUUUUUCUAUCUUCAACAAUCAAGAUUGUCUGAUGAAAGAUAAUAAACCAUAAAAUGAGGCAAAAGUUUGAAUAGGUAAUUUAAAGCGAAAUGGCGCAUCCUUGCGUUAGCAAAGCGUUUGUCAAAAAUAGAUGUCCAUAUUAACAUUUGCAAACAGAUGUAUGAAACCAUAGAUGGGCAGCUAAUUUAUAAUUUUAUAUUAACCAUGAAUGGUCUUUUAUUUUUUACACACGGAAAUAAAAGACCAAAGAAGAAAGACUUUUUCACUCAGAAGUUCCAUUUUCCCUGGAGAAAUAGAAUUGGAUUUAAAAGAAAAUUGUGUAAAUUACUAAAGAAAAUAAAACUUGUUUGCAUGUUGACUUGACCAGUGCGACGCGACACUAAGACCAAUCCAUCCUUUGAAACCAGCAUUACGCGGUUACGUAGAUUCCCGUCACAGCCCAGUUAUCGUCCUUUAAAAUGUGAAAGCUCAACGAGUCACUUUAACACACACUCGCACUCCUCUCUUUCUCAUAAUAGUCUUUUUCAUUUUCUCCAAUCAACAACCAAAGUUUGCACCCUUUUUUUUUGCAAUUCUUCGAGAUCUUUAACACGAGUGACCUUCAAAGACUGUAUCUUACUUUGUUGACAAAAAAAAAAGUAACUCAAUUCUGUUACCUUUAUCUCUGCUCUGCUUUGGUUUGGUUUGUUUCAUUGUCAAAUUGUCUUACAAAUAUAUGUUUAUCAAACUUGGCAGAAUCUUGAAACUUGCUGUGUUAGAUGGGAAUUGACAUCACUACCCGGAUAGAGAAGUUGCCUCAUUCCUUCAAGGUCUGUUCUAAUCAUCUCCUUAUAAUUGAACUUUUUUGCCUUAAGGUUUAGUUAUUGUAGUGACAUGUUUGGUGAUGCUUGCACUGUUUCCAGAUGCACUCUUCCAUGUGCUUAGAGUUAAAGAACUUAGUUGAUAGUAUCAUGAGCAUCUUUCCUGAUAUAGAAGAUGCUCGACCCGGAUCCUCCUCAGGGAUACAGACUCUAUGUUUGCUCAACAAAGCUUUGGAGAAAGCUAAGCUGCUUCUUCAGUACUGCAGCGAAUCCAGCAAACUCUACAUGGUUUGUCACAUUUUCUUAAAUUAAUUUUAUUUGCAAAUGUGCAUUUUUUUUCUUUCUGUGGCCUAAUGUGUUGCUUCAUUCUUCAGGCAGUAACAGGAGAUGGUAUACUCUCAAGAGGUUGUAGAGCCAAGAAGUUAUUAGAGCAAAGCUUAUCUGACAUCAGAAGCAUGGUACCAACUGUUUUGGCUAUUAAGGUUUCUGUACCAAACUAUUUUUGAUUCUUCUAUAAAAAAACGAAGAAUCACUGAUGAGAGUUUUGAUUUGCAGAUAACUCAAAUAGUCCAAGAUCUGAGAUCAACUGUGUUGUCUCUUGAACCAUCUGAAGAAGAAGCUGGGAAAGCUGUUAGAGAACUGAUGCAGCUGAGCACAUCUUCUCCUGAUGAGAUUAGAGAUUUCCAUUUUGCAGCGUUGAAGCUCCAUCUUUCAACUCCUGAGGCCAUUGUGAUUGAGAGAAGAUCCUUAAAGUCGCUUUUUGCGAAACUAGGCGAGCGUGAAGGGGACAAGAGACAGGUUCUGAAGUAUCUUCUCUGUCUUUUAAAGAAGCAUGAGGAGAUCAUUUUGAGAGAUAACUCGUUCACGCAGCUUCAGUCUGUUGAUGAUCUUGUGUGUGCUAGUGCUGUAGAAGCCGGGUGUACUGACUUCAACUCAAGCUUCUCCACUGAAUCAGGAACUGAAGUCACAGACUCUACUCACAGGGAGGUGGAGAUAGGCUCUCUCUCUUCCCUCUUGAAGAUGGCAGAGUCUGGAGCAGACCAUCUCCAGGAAGACGCUAUGAACACACUCAAGAGCCUCUCCUCGAGCAACGAGAUUUGUCUGGAAAUGGUUUCUCUCGGUUUCGUCAAGAAUCUCACAUCUCUCUUGCAACAAAUUGUGUUCAGCAAGCAAUCGAUCAUCAUUCUGAGGAACCUCUGCAACACGGAGAAAGGAAGGGUUUGUAUAACGGAAACACCUGGUUGUUUAGCUUCAAUAGCUGAACUGCUGGACUCAGAUGUUACCGAGGAGCAAGAGAAUGCAAUCUCCAUCCUGUUACAGCUCUGUGUGGAGAAGAUAGAGUAUUGCAGCCUUGUUGUGAGAGAGGGCGUUGAUAUUUACUCAUCUCUUUUCUUGAUAUCCAACAAUGGAACGGAGGAAGCCAAGGUUGGUGCAUCAGAGUUGCUUAGAGCUCUUGAAGAAGUAGAUUCUAACAGAGAAGAAGAGUCUUCCACACUAGAAGGAGCAACUACUUCACAGACUGUUAUUACUCCAGUUAAGCAUCAAGAACCUAUGCUAACAACUCCAUCUCUGAAGAAGUCUGGUCUUUUUGGACUCAGAUUCCCAUUUUCAAGAAGAAGAAAAGUUUGUUAGGUUGUUUUAUAACUUAAAGCCUUUUUUGUCUGGUUCUCUUUGUUGAAUUAGGAGUUUGUAAAUAUUAGACACAAAAUGUCCCACCACAUGUUGGAAAGGAUUCUUAGUAAUAUAAAAGAUAGAUGGGCCACUCCACUUAUCACCAAUUGGUUUUAGGUUGGAAGCACAUAUAGCUUAACAUGGUAUCAGAGUCCGAUCCACGCAGUCCAACUCGAUCCACAUCGAUCUGGCCCAAAGUUGGCCCAUCGAUACUUGUCCGAGCAUUCCGAGAUUGACGCUCAAAGGGCCAUCAUCUCGAGGGGACAUAUUAGAUACAAAGUGUCUCACUUCGGAUGUUGGAAAGGAUCCUUAGUAAUAUAUAAGAUAGAUGAACCACUCCACUUAUCACCAAUUAGUUUUAGGUUGGAAGCUCAUCUAGCCUAAAAGUAAAUGUCAAUGUAAUUGUAAUUUGAUAGGACCCUUUUGGAAAACUAACUAGAAUAUUGGUUCCAAUACAGUUGGAACCCUAGUCAUCCAUUUCAUUUAAAAUUAUAGAACAUUUAUCAUUGCCAUAUGGAUCCAAAUAAUGACCGUUUUUUUAAUGGGUUGUAAUAUACAGAAAUAAAUUGAGCAUAUAUAUAUAUUUUAAAUUAUUUAAAGUUGACAAAACAUUUUUUUUAAUAAAAAAAAGAUGUGCAAAUAUUAUAACAAAAAAAAAACAUCAAAUUUGUUAAUACUUAACUAGUGAAAUCAUUAUACACAAAUAAUAUGAAUAAAUCUACUUUCAUGAGUUUUGUGUCGUUAAAUUGAGCGUUGUCUUUGUUUGUGUUUGUUUAUCGAUUCUAGUGUUGUGGAUUAGAUAAAUUAGGGUCUUUGCUUGCGUUUGUUUUUUGUUUCUAGUGAUGAUUUUGCUAAUACAUUUCCUUUCUUUUUUUUCUGAAGGAAGUAUGGAAACUACGAGGCACAACGUGGAAAUUUACCUAUGCGAAAUCAUCACCCAUGUAGGUGUAGAAGGUAGUCACUCCAGACUCAUGAUUGGGAUCUAUAAGUUCACCAGAGAGAUCAUCCAACCCAUCCAAGGACCCGAUCAGUUGAUGCUUCAGCUCAAAGAUUUUCAAGAGUGGUAUGCGGUCGAUGUAGACACUUCCUCACGGUGAAUUUCUACAACUCCAUCAUUCCAGUUUCUACUUUGAGAAUCAGUGCGUAUUUGGAAGGUAGGGCCUUAAACCCUGGAUGGAUGUGAGAAAGAGUUGCGGAUCGUUUAUCCGCAGUUGCUGACAAUGAGGGUAUAUAUGUGCAUGUGUUUGAAAGCCCUAAUCCAAGACUCAUCAUGAUCUAACUAGACUGUUUUUCUUACCAAGAGUAACAUUAACUUGUUCUAGUUGGUGAACAAUUGUAGAGCCUGUCAACGUGACUGGUGGAUGUCUGGUUUCUAUUUUCCCGUCAAAGUGUGCUCUAUUUUGAAGAAAGCCAUGAUCUGUAGGAAGAAAACAACGAUGGCCAAUGAAACAAUUUUUUUCCAUUGAUGUAAUCGUUGUCAGAUACCAUCAUAAUUACAACUUGGACAAGCUGAUGUUGUAUAUGUAUUCCAACCUGACAAAUUUCCAAAACCAGUAAAAUCACUAACUGUCCACAUGAGAGCUGCUCGCAUAUCAAAUUUUUGUUUUGUGGAAGCAUCUAACGUUUUAAUCCCAUAAAACCAUAACUCUUUCAACUCCUUGAUAAGUGGCUGCAAGUAGACAUCAAUAUCAUUACCAGGCAUGUGUUUUCCAGGAAUAACCAUAGAGAGAAUCACUGAUGUCUGCUUCAUCGACAUCCAUGGUGGAAAAUUAUAAGAAAAUAACAUCACUGGCCAUAUGCUAUAGCUACUGCUCAUUGUACCAAAAAGGUUGAAUCCAUCAGCCGCCAAGCCUAAUCCGACAUUUCUUGAAUCAGAAGCAAAUUCAGGAUAUUGAUGAUCAAAUGCCUUCCAAGCCAACCCAUCUCUUGGAUGUCGAAGCUUGCCAUCAUUGUUACUAGCAGUUGCAUGCCAUCUCAUGUGGUUGCAGUUUUUGAUGACAUAAAUAAACGCUGAAGUCGUGGCUUUAGAGGAAAAUAACGCAAGACUUUUGCAGGAGAUUUAGUUUUUUCUUUCUCUGAUCCAGAAACCGUUCUCUCUGCUGGUUUGUUAUCUUUCCAACGAGAGACUUCACAAACUUUGCAGAUCUCUCUUUCUGCAUAUGCCUCCCAAUAUAACAUGCAAUCAUUUGGACAUGCAUGAAUUGACUCGUAAGUCAUGCCUAAUUUACAAAUAACCUUCUUCAUGUCAUUAAAUGAAUCUGGCAAUUUGGCAUGCGUAAAGGCUUCUUUCAUCAAAUCGAGCACCAUAGAUAUCCCCUUGUCACUGACCCCGCACAUACAUUUAAUAUGGUACAACUUCAGUAUAAUGGAAAACUUCGUGAAGUUACUGCAUCCUGGAUAUAACCUCUUGAUUAUAAUCAGCAAAUAACUCCUCAAAAUCUUCUCUUCUUCCACUAUUUCUCCAGCAGUUGAUGGUAUGUCGCUGUUCAUUGGUUGCUCAGAUGAGUCAUUUCCAUAUUCACCUUGCAUAUUCAUAUUAAUAUCAGGAAAAAGAUCAUCCAAGAGAUUCAAAGUUGAAUCUAACUGAACUCGAGUGAUAUCAGAAGGUACCCUUGCAUUCUCUGUAAUGCGUAUUUCCUCUCCGUGUAAUAUCCAACUUGUGUAUGGACUUAAAAAGCCAUAGCACAUCAAAUCACCCUCCAUUUCUUCUCUUGACUAAGGUUUGGUUAGAGAACAACGGUUACAUGGACAUUUAAUCAUUUGUACAUUUGAUCUACCAAAUGCAAAAUCCAAAAAAAAAAUUACUCGUAGUUUGUAAUCUUGAGAUAAAUGUGGCUUUUAUAUCCAUGAUUUAUCCAUUGGAAUCUGAAAACAUAUUCACAGAGUUAAACUUUAAAUUUACAAAUCAAGCAUUAAAAGUUCUAUGAAUUAUAGUCAAACAAUAAAAUCAUGUAUAGAACUAUAUGUUUGUUAUAAUCGUUCAUUUAUUUUUUAAAUUCCUUAAAAACUUUGAAAACGUCUUGAUCAAUCUAGCUAAUCAAUGUAAAUUUAUCAUUAUAGCAUCAAUUAUUAGCAUAACUGAUAAAUAAAGUUGCACAGCUGAAAACUCAGAAAAGCGUAUGUAUUUACUUUAUAACUAACACAAAACUUUGAUUUUUAAUUCUAGAGAUUUCAGAUUAACAACUUUUCCCAUAAACAUUGUAAAACCUUUUGCUAUAAAUCCAAAUAGUGAAUGUCAAUUUACCUUAUAAUUAAGCACACCUUUGAUCUUUCCCUNNNNNNNNNNNNNNNNNNNNNNNNNNNNNAGCACACCUUUGAUCUUUCCGUAACCGACAAUUAUUUUUGUAAACAAAUGUGAGGAUGAUCGUAAUGCACCCUAGGAAGAAGAAGCCAAACAAAACCACGUCAACAAUCAGUGAGUUAUUAUCCCUUUCACUUUAAAAUACAGAAACCAUGUAUCAAUUUACCUUAACUAAUUAUAAGCAAUUUCGAUCUGAGAUUGAUGACAACCAAUUUUGCAAUUGAAAUGGAAAUGUGAUCUUCUACCUCGUUGAGGAAAAAGGUCAAACAACAUCGAGGAAGAAUAGGUCAAAAUUAAAGAAUUAGCUGAUCAAAAGCUAACAAGAAAAAAAGAUUCUUUAAUUUGCUUAACUUACGAUAUAUAUAUAUAUACACAUAGGAUAAAUAUUUAUUUACCUUCAACUCAAAACAAUAGUAUAUUUUAAGAUAUAUAUUAGCGAUACAAUAUUGCAUUAAAUAGAUGUAAAAGUUACGUAAUAUUUAUAAUGUUAAGAGAAUUAUGUUAGCAUCAAUUUUAAUUGAUGUAAGUUUUGUAUUAUUUUAACAAAUGAUGUUUUUUAAAAAGUAAAUGCAUCGAUUAUUUAAUUGAUAUCAAUCUGUAUAAUAAUAUCAUUUUUGUUUAAGUGAUACAAAAUAACAUAAAUUGUAUCAUUUUUAAUGAAUGGAUGCAAAAUAAAUUAAUAAUGAUAUCAUUUGCUAUAACUGAUGCUAACUUAUUAUUAUUUGUAUCAUUUAUAAAUACAUAAUUUAAAAUAUAAUCACUUAUUUUUGUGAUACACUUUAAGUGAUUUAAUAUGCACUUCUUUUUUUUGUAGUGAUAGAAGCCGAGGGGACGAGCUGUAAUGUAUGUCUGGGGGAGCUAAGUAGCGAAAGUUGCUAUGCACUCUCUUGUGGUCAUGUCUACCACAAGAGAUGUCUAUGUUCUCUCCUGUGGGAAAUCACUGACUUUCAUUGUCUUCUUUGGGAUGAUCCUGUUUUUUAAAUUAUGAUUAUCUAAAACCUACGUUGUUUGCAUGUUGAUUUAGUGUGAUCCUUUUUUUUUUCUUUUUAAUCUUUCGGUGUAGUGAACUUUAUUAUGAUCAUGUAUGUUUGUUUGGGUGCAACAUAACUCUAAAGAGAGAGAGUGGCAGGAACAGUAAGAGCUGGAAGAUUGAAGUUCUUUAGUGGUGUAAUUUAUAGAGCAAGUCAUGAUACACUUUUGUGCUUCCUUACUUUCCUCAUCGGACAAUUGUAAAACUUUCACUUUGUGUUUUCCCUUCCAACGGCUACGAUGGAAUCAUCUCGAUCUCGAGAAUGUCACGCGGAUUACCAAUUUGGAGAUAACCUAGUGUGCAUGGAACUAGUGUUGGUCCUGUGUGCUAGGGCACGAAAAUACCUAGAGCAUGUUCAUCGUUCAAAACCUGUGCAGAAUUCUAAAAGAAAAAAAAAAUAUCAAUACUAUAAUAAUGUAUUUAAUUUUUAUUUUUCUCUACAAAAGAAAACCAAUAAAUGGUUGACACAUACGUGUGUGAAUUUGGUAACCAUUUCUUAAUUUUUAAGGACCCUUCUCUUUCUUAUUUCCUAAUUUUUCAUUAUCUAAUCUAUUAAUUUAGAGUUAUAUUUUUAUCUACUGUUAAAUGUUGUCAUUUAAUUUUUGAACUUAUUCAUAACACUAUCCUUUCAUAUACACGUUCGCUCACCCUUAUACAUACUUGAUAUCAACCGGUAAACUUAAUGUAAACUGAGCUUUCUUUAAACCAAAUUUCGGUUAGCAUAUCCAAAUAAAGAACCUAUUCAAAUAAUCAUCAUCAAUUUAAACAUACUAACCGCUUAUCAGAAUUUAUAUUAAACUGACUUUAACGGAACAAGUAUACAUCAAUUUAUUCAUUCUACAUUUCUUCUGUUAAAGUAAUACGAACUUUGAUUAAUGCUAUAGAAAAAACUAAUACGGACCUUUGAGAUCAUGAUUUUAUUGUAUGUAAUCAUCAAUAAUGCUAACCAAUUGUCCAUUCUCUUUUUUUUUGGUACAUAUAGAUUGUAAAAUCAUUAUAGCUAAACAUACCAAAGUGGUAAAAAAAAAAUCAGCUAAUACAAAAUCCAUUUUCAUGCUACAUAAUUACACUAAUUGCUGAGUCAAUUAUGACUUACCUGUGUCAUAUUUCGAUAACCAUAUUAAACAAAAGUUGAAGAAGCUAAGCCUUUUUCAUUUUCUUUUCUUGAUCUAGAUAAACUGUCAAAUAGUUAUCACUAACCAAACCAAACUGGUUUAAUAUGAAUUUUCUAAAUUGCAAGAAAUCAUGAAUAGUAUUAUAUUGAGUUUAUACGUUUGAAUUUAUUAUAUGACCAUCACAUAUUUUUUUUAACCCAGAAAAUAAUCUACAUUCAGUUCCAAAAAGAUUAUAGUCACCACAAAAUAUGGUAAUAAAGUAUCUAUACUAUACCAUCAUGCUCUUUUUAAUUGCUAUUAAUGAUUACUUGAACGAGCUCAUCCUGAUAUUUUUAUAAAAACGAAAUAGGGUUCUUACACCUAAAACAAAUAUAUGUGCCUAAAUAUGUAUUUAAUUUUAUAAAAAAUAAAUUACAUUAAAAAGAGUAAAAUUUGUAAAACGGAUUGGAAAUUUGAAAGUGAUGUAUUAGAUAUAAUAUAUAUUUACUAUAAAUUAAAAAAACCAAAAGAAAAUGAUAUUGUAUAAAAUAAAAUAGUAUAAAUAUAUUUUCAUAUUUGUAUGAUUCCAAAAAAAACUGAAAAUGUUAUAUUUUGAAAAAAUUAACAUAUAACAUGUUUAUCAUAAAGAAGGUAAGCAAAUUGAACUACAAAUAUAAUAAAAAACCUAAAGACAAAUCUAUGUUUUUAUUAAAAUAAAUUUAUAAAAUAAUUUCGCCCUUGAAAAGGGUGAGUCAAAAUCCAGUUUUUAUUAUUUUUAAUCUUAAAAACUGAGCAAAGAAUUAGCGUUGAACAUGCUUUUAGUUGAUGCAUUAUUGGUUGUUACAAUAACUUAUAGUAUAUUAUUAAUUAAUAAUCGGUUUUUUUCAGGUUGAGUUGUUGUCGUGACUCACUCGCUCAAAUUUUAAUAAUCUUAAAAUUUUUGCCAUUAAUUUCAAUUGUACUACGUAAAAAAUCCAUUUGAUAAUUGUUUAUAUUUUUGAGAAGAGUUGAUAUCUGUCAGGCAUGAAUUUAGUCAUUUUUUAUUUUUUUUAAAAAAGUAAUUCCUCAAAUGAAACUACCAAGUCACCAAGUGAAUGAAUAAUUUAGAUUUUGUUGUAUAAUAAAGGUGAGAUAAUGUUUAUAUUUAUUAUUGUAUAUAUAUUUGUUUGUGGGGGUGUAAAAGUGACAAGACAAAAAGAGAGAGAGAUGAGACAACGAUUGAGAAAGAGAUGUUGAAAGUGAUUCUGAUUCUUAAUUAAGGGUCUGACUGGUUUAAUCGCAGCGGUUGCGGUUGCGGUUGCGGGAGUUUGCGGAUGCGGGUGGUUGCGGUUUCUAGCGGUUUUAAGAGAUUUGUACGACUGGUUAUGUGGUUAGAAAUUUGUGCGUUUGCGGGAUACUUAUGACUGGUUAACUACCAAAUGCAGCAGCAGUUAAAUAAUAAAUUAACAAUAUUUACAUUUUAUACAAUUAUAAAAAUAUCAAAAAUAAUAAUAUUAUAAUAAAUAUAAAAUUUAUAUUUAGAAAGUUAUAGUUUAAAUUUUUUAAAAAUAUAGAAAAUAUUUUUAUUUUAAAGUUUUAUAAUAUUAAUUAAAAUUUAAUUGAUAUAUUUUAGCAUUUUUAUAAUUUCAGUUUAAUUUUUUUAUUGAAUUUUUUUAUUUUUGUAUUUAUAUUGUUUUGGAAAAAAAAUAAUUUUUUUUUAUCCUCCCGCAAACGCCCGCAACCGCAAACGCUAGCUGGAACCAGCUUUUGAAUUUAUGAGGUUCAGAGCGAUUUGGAGCGAUUUGGAGCGGUUUAGAGCGGUUUGAGCGAUUGUUACAAAACGCCAGCAACCGCUACCAACCGCAAAAGCUGCGUUUGCGGGUGGUAGCGGGAAAACCAGUCAUACCCUUCUUUCUCUUUUACAACUCUAUUUAUAGAGAGGAAGAGUCGGUUUAUUUUACCGACUAAUAAGAAAAGGACAAAAAUAUAUAUAUCUGACAUUUGUACUGCUGAUAAUAUAAAAACCUUUUGGAACAUAUGACAUGUGGAAGUGAUGAGGAUGAUAUGAGACCCUGACAAGUGUUAUUAGAUAAUCACAUAUUUUAACACUCCUCCUUGAUUAUCCAAUCAUGUAUUACGUAGUGCCUCAUUAAAAACCUAGUCAUGGAAAAACCCAUUGGGACAAAAACCAUGACAAGAAAAAAAGAGUACACUACCGUAAUCUCUCCAUGAGAAUAGUAGACAUAGCUUUCUCGUCACAGGUCACGUAAAUGCCGCAUUCCGAUACCAUAGACAUGCUUUCAGAAUGUUGUAGUCGUAAGAGCUUUGGUGAACAAGUCAGCCGGAUUUUCGCAUGACCGUACAUACUCGAUGCCCACUUCUUUAAUUUUUCUCGAGCUCCCUUAUGUACGGGAAAAAUCUUGGAGGAAUAUGCUUUGUUAUGUCGCUCUUAAUGUAGCCUUCCUUGAGUUGAGCAACACACGCUGAAUUAUCUUCAAAUAUUUACAUUGGCCCUUUCUCAUUGACUAUUCCGCUUGAUUCUUGUAUGUGGUAACUCAUUGACCGAAACCACACACAUUCUCGACAUGCUUCGUUAAGCGCAAUAAUUUCUGCGUGAUUAGAAGAUGUUGCAACCAGAGUUUGUUUCUGGGACCGCCAAGAGAUCGCGGUUCCACCAAUUGUAAAAACAUAGCCGGUUUGCGAUCGAGCCUUAUGAGGAUCUGAUAACUAUCCCGCAUCUGCAAAACCAACCAUACCAAACUCGGGUUUUCUAAAAUACAUUAACCCUAAAUCAACUGUACCUUGAAGGUAACAGAAUAAAUGCUUUAUUUCGUCCCAAUGCCUGCGAGUAGGAACAGAACUAUAUCUCGCCAGUAGAUUAGUAGCAAAAGCUAUAUCUGGUCUGGUACAGUUUGCAAGAUAUAACAGCCCACCGAUAGCACUCAUAUAAGGUACUUCUGGACCUAAUAUCUUCUUGCUAUCUUCGCAGGGCCUAAAAGGAUCACUCUCAACAUUGAGAGUUCUACCAAUCAUUGGAGUACUCAAAGGAGUCGCUUUGUCCAUGCGAAAGCGUUUCAAUAACCUUUUCGUAUAGUUUGAUUGAUGCACAAAUAUUCCAUCUCGGAAAUGCUCUAUCUGGAGCCCAAGACAAAACUUUGUCUUGCCGAGAUCUUUCAUUUCGAACUCCUCUUUCGUAUGAGUUUGAGCAUCAUCAAACUCCUUUUGUGUUCCAAUUAUGUUCAGGUCAUCUACAUAAACACCAAUGAUCACAAAGCCAGAUGACGAUUUCUUUAUAAAAUUGCAAUAUCGCAUUAUUCACAUAUCCUUUACUCAAAAGAUAUUCACUUUAACGAUUGUACCACAUGCGUCCGGAUUGCUUUAAUCCAUAAAGUAAUCGCUGUAACUUGACCGAACAAAUCUCUCUGGAUUUUUCUUUCAAUGCCCCUGGCAUUUUCAAUCCCUCAGGGAGUUUCUUGUAUAUAUCGUUAUCCAACGAUCGAUACAAAUAUGCAGUCACAACGUCCAUGAAAUGCAUUUCAAGAUUUUUAGACGCCGUUAGGCUCAUCAAAAAUCUAAACAUAAUUGCAUCCAUUACCGGAAAAUAUGUUUCCUCAAAAUCAAUUCCCGGUCUCUGAGAAAAACCUUGGGCAACUAAUCGGGCUUUAUAUCGUAUUACUUCAUUUUUCUCAUUUACUUUUCUCACGAAUACCCACUUAUACCCAACAGGAUUUAUAUUCUCAGGCGUUCUGACUAUAGGUCCAAAAUUUCGUCCCAAUGCCUGCGAGUAGGAACAGAACUAUAUCUCGCCAGUAGAUUAGUAGCAAAAGCUAUAUCUGGUCUGGUACAGUUUGCAAGAUAUAACAGCCCACCGAUAGCACUCAUAUAAGGUACUUCUGGACCUAAUAUCUUCUUGCUAUCUUCGCAGGGCCUAAAAGGAUCACUCUCAACAUUGAGAGUUCUACCAAUCAUUGGAGUACUCAAAGGAGUCGCUUUGUCCAUGCGAAAGCGUUUCAAUAACCUUUUCGUAUAGUUUGAUUGAUGCACAAAUAUUCCAUCUCGGAAAUGCUCUAUCUGGAGCCCAAGACAAAACUUUGUCUUGCCGAGAUCUUUCAUUUCGAACUCCUCUUUCGUAUGAGUUUGAGCAUCAUCAAACUCCUUUUGUGUUCCAAUUAUGUUCAGGUCAUCUACAUAAACACCAAUGAUCACAAAGCCAGAUGACGAUUUCUUUAUAAAAUUGCUAUAUCGCAUUAUUCACAUAUCCUUUACUCAAAAGAUAUUCACUUUAACGAUUGUACCACAUGCGUCCGGAUUGCUUUAAUCCAUAAAGUAAUCGCUGUAACUUGACCGAACAAAUCUCUCUGGAUUUUUCUUUCAAUGCCCCUGGCAUUUUCAAUCCCUCAGGGAGUUUCUUGUAUAUAUCGUUAUCCAACGAUCGAUACAAAUAUGCAGUCACAACGUCCAUGAAAUGCAUUUCAAGAUUUUUAGACGCCGUUAGGCUCAUCAAAAAUCUAAACAUAAUUGCAUCCAUUACCGGAAAAUAUGUUUCCUCAAAAUCAAUUCCCGGUCUCUGAGAAAAACCUUGGGCAACUAAUCGGGCUUUAUAUCGUAUUACUUCAUUUUUCUCAUUUACUUUUCUCACGAAUACCCACUUAUACCCAACAGGAUUUAUAUUCUCAGGCGUUCUGACUAUAGGUCCAAAAACGUUUUUUUUAUUCAGGAGAGUAAUUCAAUUUGAAUGGCCUUCUUCCACUCCUUCCAAUCAUGUCUUUUUGACAUUGUAAAAUAGACCUUGGAUCGGGAUCAUCAUUUUCAUGAUCGAUAUCUUUGGACACAGAAAAGAAGAACAUUUCAUCAACAUCUUUUAUCUUAUUUCUGAUCCAUAUCUUCAUCUCGGGCGUAGUUGAUGGAAAUCUCAUACUUUUCUAUUCCCUUCUCGUCAUCUGGAUCAUCUUUAUCUAUGCCUUAUUUCAGACAUUUUUCACUAUCAGGUUCUUCUAGGACCUUACUGUGUAUGCACAUGGGGAACUGGAUGCUCCACAUCAAUCCCCAUUGACAUACAAUAAUCAUCAAAGGCUUGCGAUGUAAAUUCACCAACAUUAUCAAGCCUUACUUUCUUAAUGGCAUAUUCUGAGAACUGCAUUCUCAGCUUUAUUAUCUAGGCAAUGAACUUUGUGAAAGCCGUAUUUCGUGUUGUCAAAAGACACACCCUUGACCAUCUACUAGAUGCGUCAAUCAAUACCAUGAAAUAUUUAAACGGCCCGCAGGGUGGGUGGAUCGGCCAAAAUUAUCAUCAUGUAUUCUUUCCAAAAAUAUUAGUGAUUCAUUGCCUACUUUUGCUGGUGAUGGCCGAGUUAUAAGCUUUCCUUGAGAACAUGCAUUACAUGUAAACUCAUCCGUUUGCAAAAAUUUUCCGUUUUUCAACGGAUGGCCAUUCAAAUUUUGCACUAUCUUUCUCAUCAUGACUGAACCAGAUCCAAUGAUUGGUAAAAUUUUCCGUUUUUCAACUGGAGACAUUUGGGUGCAUUUGGAGCUCAAAGGAGGUGAUUAGAGUGGUCUUUGGACGAGCACUGCCUGGAGCGACUUCUCGGAGCGACUACAUGAGGUCGCUGUGCACCACAUCCCGGAGCGACUCAUCCAGAGCGACUGCACGAAGUCGCUCGCGUUUUCACAUCCGGAGACACACAUAUUUGACCCUGGAGCGACCUUCCAGAGCGACGUGCUGAAGUCGCUCCCGAUGUUCAGAGCGACCUGCUGGAGUGACACACCAAGGUCGCUCGCGUUUGUGCCGUCGGAGACACUAAAAGUGGCUCUGGAGCGACUUGCUGGAGCGACACCUGCAAGUCGCUCCGCGUUAUUUUGCUGCCGAAAAUUACAAUUUCUCGGGGACCUUUUUGCAAUUUGAAGGCACGUUUUGCACUUCUAAAAACCUAUCUUUUUUAAUACUUUGUAAGCCAUUGGAGGCAAGAGAAUCUCUUUUCUAGAGAAAAACUAGUAAAAAACCUCUUUUGAUUCAGAUUUCAUUGCUUUCAUCUUGUGUUCUUGUUGAUUUCUUAUCUAUUUCUCUACAUGGUUAAUCUGAAAUCCAAUAUGGGUUUAAGAGGAAUCAUGGAGAUUAGUGAGUAAUCACCUUUUGAAUUCAUGGGUUAGGGAGAUUAAGGGUGAUUAGGUUAGUUCUAGGAUGUUUUAGUGUAGAUCAUUCUUGUUCCUUGCUAGUAGAGUAUUCAUAAUGCAUCUUCUGAGUUGGCCACUCAAAAGUUGAUCAAUAGGCAUUUCCCACCCAAAAGGUGUUUGAUGAAAUGCCUGAGACAACUCUCCUAGGCUUUUAGUAUACUUUGCCAAAGACAUUUGUUGUUAAAGGUGCUAAGAUAGCUAAUAGACUUGUUAGUAAUGAUUGCUUUCAUAUUAUUCAACCAAAGACAUUUGAUGUUUGAGAUAUGUUAGCAAAUGAGCAUUCAUCUAGACAUAGAGCUUGCUUAGAAUUGUGUCUAGGCUUAAGGUUGAUAGUUUGAUUGAUCAUUUGCCAUCCUUAGUUCGAUACUUGAUCACCCAAGGUCUAAUCCCUAUGCCCAUGAGUUCUCUUUUCCUUUAGUCAAGAAAGUAUCAUUCUGUUAUUGCUUUCUAGUUUAGUAGUAGUUUAAAACCCAUCUAAAUCAUUGGUUGCACUUAGAUUAAGUGAGUACUUGCAUUCUCAGUGCUUUGAUAUCCCUCAGAACUGGUUCGACAAUCUUUUAUACUACAACAUUUGUCUUAGGAGCCUUGAAAACUCCUAACAUCAAAUUGGCGCCGUUGCCAAAUUCUGAGUAGAUUUGAACAUUGAGAUUUAGUCACUUGCUUGAGACUAAGUCAUUUUUAUUUUCUUUUGUUACUGAUUCUCUUUCUUCACCUCCCUUUAAUCUACAGGUGUAUGAACUUGAGGAGCAGGGGUCCAUCAAACCUAGUUCCAAUAGCUGCAGACAUCAGAGCUUUAGAGAGAGAGUGUGCUAGAAAUAGAAGAGAAGAAGAGCAACAGGCUCACUUGCAGAGAUUGAGUACUGAUAUGGGAGACAUACCUCAAAACCAACAGCGAGCAGCUCGACCCAUUGGCACUUACGACCGCCCCAACAUUCAUGGUCAUAGAUUGGGAAUCCGAGCACCCGCUGUGGCAGCCAACAACUUUGAGAUCAAAUCAGGACUCCUCAACGUGAUCGAGAACAACAAGUAUCAUGGCUUGGCUCUAGAGGAUCCAUUUGAUCACUUGGACAGGUUCGACAGCUACUGUGGGUUGUCAAAAACCAAUGGUGUGUCCGAAGAUGCCUUAAAGCUCAAGCUAUUCCCUUUCUCUUUGGGGGAUAAGGCACGUCAGUGGGAGAAGUCUCUACCCAGCGACUCCAUCACCACUUGGGAUGACUGCAAGAAAGCAUUCUUGGAGAAGUUCUUCUCUACUUCAAGAACUGCUAAGCUGAGAAACGAGAUUUCCAGCUUUCAACAGAAGAACUUGGAAGGCUUCAGUGAAGCCUGGGAGAGAUUCAAGGGCUACCAAGCUCAAUGCCCACACCAUGGUUUCUCUAAGGAGAGCUUGCUGAGCACAUUCUACCGUGGUGCUCUUCCUAAGUACAGAGCCAGACUGGAUACAGCUAGCAAUGGGUUCUUCUUGGGGAGAACUGAGGAGGAUGCAGAAGAGCUGGUUGACAACAUGGUAAAGAGUGAUGCAGUCUACAGUGGAGACCACGACAGAGGCAGUAGAACAGAUGAUAAGCAGACGAGGAAAGAGAUCAAAGCUUUGGAAGACAAGAUCGACCUACUCAUUGCUGAAAAAGCAACCCAAGAGCAGCUGAAGUUUGUUGGUAACUCCAAGCAGGAAGAUCCACUUGCUGUCAAUGAGGUUGAGGGUUUGGAAGGUCAAGAGGAGUUGUGUUUCAUCAACAACAAUGGUAGCUGGUACAAAAAGGAGCCCAAUUUUCAGUACAACAACUACCAACAGAAAUCCUAUCCCAACAACCAACAGAGUGGUUAUCCGCCUAGAAACAACCAGCAAGGCAGCUAUCAGCCUCAGCAAAACCCCUCGUCUGGUUCCUCUGCUCCUCAAGAGAGCAGCACUGAUACCUUACUGAAACAAAUCUUGGAGUCUCAGACUAAAAGUGAGAAGCAUGUUGGUUAUGAGUUGAAGAACCUUCAUUCCAAGAUUGAUGGGAGCUACAAUGAGCUCAACAACAAAUUCUCACACCUUGCUUCUACAGUCAAGAAUUUAGAGAAUCAGUUUGCUUCCAUGAGCACUCACCAGAAUCGCCAGCAAGGAUCUCUACCUGGAAAAUCUGACCCAAAUCCCAAAAAAGCCAAAGCUAUCACCCUUCGGAGUGGUAAGCAGUUACCUCAUAGAACCCUCACCAAGGAUGCUGAGAAACUAGGUGAGGGGGUUGCCAUCAACAUAGAUGAUGAAGUGGUGAUUGUUGAUGAGAAAAUCAAUGAUGAAAUCUUGGAGAAGAUUGUGGAAGCAAAAGGUAAAGGAAAGGUUGGGGAAGAGAAGAAGACAGUAAAAGAUGGUGAAGUUGUUACUCCAGCAAGUGAAAGUUCUUUUGUUCCUCCUCCCUAUGAACCCAAACUACCAUUCCCUGGUAGAUUCAAGAGGCAGCUGCUAGAGAAGUACAAAGCUCUAUUUGAGAAGCAAAUGAGUGAAGUUCAAGUCACAAUGCCCAUCAUUGAAUCUCGGAUCUCUUCUCUUGGCUUGUUUGAUGUCUUCCCCUUUCUUCUGACUCCUUGCCAUCUUCAAAGGGUGUAGGAACGACCAGCUUCUGAUAUAGAGACCUCCAAGUACCUAUAACCCAAUGCAUAAACACUUGCAUCAAUUCUCAAGGCAUAAACCAAUCAAACUUCAACUCAAACAUUAAACUGGUUACCCCCCUUGCAUAUGAGUGAAUGGGACUGAUGAGGAGUGUCUUUGAGACACUUGAGUCCUCCAUAUGAUCUGAGGUGAGGUUGACGACAUGAACCUUCAGGAUAGCUCACCAUUACCCCUCCUCAAGCUUGAUCCGGAGAAAAUGAGUGAAGGACCAAGCUUAGAAGUGAGAAACACUGAGUCUUGAAACCAGGAGCGCAUCACCCCUACAGUUGCGCUUAAGUCAACCAAUUCCUCCUUUGAUCUCUUCUUCACUGCCCCUUAUUUAUCUUUUGAACCAGGAGCUCAACAACCAAACGUAUAUAUUUAAUUUUGUAAGAAUAGAAAACUAGGUUCGACCGGUUGAACCGGUCCAACCAAUCAACUCGAUACGGACCGGAUUUCAAAACCUUGCAACAUACUAAGAGCAUGAUUAUUGGGGAGUUUUUAGAGUGAAGUUCUUAACGGAAUAUAAAAAUCCGUCUCUUAACUUUUAAAGUUAAGAACCGGUUCUUAAAACUCUUAUUUAAAAACCGGUUCUUAACUUUUUUAGUUAAAAGUUAAGAGACGAAUUUUUAUAUUCCGCUAAAAACCUCAUCCUAAGAACCCCAAUAAUCAUGCUCUGGCAACUAGAACUAGUGUUCAAUAUUAUUCGUCUCUACGCACUAAUAUUUAAUUUCACGCACAUGGACUCAGACGGUCAUACGACUCAUACCACACUCUUCAUUAAUUUCAGUCGACAUCAUAUUUCUCUUCUUUUGGCGUGUGAAUUGAGUUUCCAUAUAAGAUACGCCGAAUUAUGAACUUAUAUUUAUGAAUCAUAUACAUAUAUACGCGUCGAUUGAUAUGCAUUUACGUAUGAUUCUAUCUAUUUUCUUAUUGUUUUUAAGCUUUCAUUGUUUGAUGAGUGAGGCCUUUUUCGGAAAGUCUUACAUGUGCAUAAUGUUGAGAGUAUCGGGAACGACAAUGCUUGAUCUUCAUUCUUGCUAGAUUGGGCACUCUAUUGUCUAGCUAUAGGUGGGGGGUGAGUGUUGUGAUUAUGAUUUGGGAGAAAUGAAAAAGGAAUAGAAUAGACUCUUUGUGCUUAAGUGAAUUGUUUUAUUGGGAUCAGUAGAGAAGCCUCUAGCUCAAAUUUUGAAAAGUCUUGGCCCCCAGCCUAAAAUAAAAAAUAAAAUAAAAUAAAAUAAAGGAAAUAGAAAAACGAAAAAAAAAAAAGGGGCUAGCAAAGUUGUUAAGAGCUAAGAAAUGUUUUGAGGUUGUGAAAAAUCCCUUGUAGAUUUCAAAGAGAAAGAGUUGAUGUUCUUAGGAUCUUUUGGUGAGAGAUGUGAGUUGAGGUAGAUCAAUGGAGAUUGAGCAUUGUAUGCAUGAGUUCGUCCCUUUCUUAGAUAUAUUAUGUGCAAUGUCAAGGCUACUUGUUUUGAGAGUAAACCACUUUAAAAGAUCAUGGAUUUUAAACCUCUUGACUCACUAGAAUAAAAGCCUUCCCUUUAAUCAACCAAAUGAUUCGGACCAAUUGACCAUUUGCAAGAAUUCACCUGAUGUUUUAUGCUUAAUGAAUAUGAUAGUUGGUUGAUUUGAAUGUGUGGAUGCUUGAUGAUGAGUGUAAGGGCAAAAAGAGUUGAGAUAGGCCUAGAGAAGCUAGAGUGUAAUAAGAGAGUGCCAAAGCUAUCACCCUUCGGAGUGGUAAGCAGUUACCUCAUAGAACCCUCACCAAGGAUGCUGAGAAACUAGGUGAGGGGGUGGUUGCCAUCAACAUAGAUGAUGAAGUGGUGAUUGUUGAUGAGAAGAUCAAUGACGAGAUCUUGGAGAAGAUAGUGGAAGCCAAAGGUAAAGGAAAGGUUGGGGAAGAGAAGAAGACAGUAAAAGAUGGUGAGGUUGUUACUCCAGCAAGUGAAAGUUCUUUUGUUCCUCUUCCUUAUGAACCCAAACUUCCAUUCCCUGGUAGAUUCAAGAAGCAGCUGCUAGAGAAGUACAAGGCUCUGUUUGAGAAGCAAAUGAGUGAAGCUCAGGUUGCAAUGCCCAUCAUCGAUGCUUUCAUGUUGAUUCCUCAAUACAGCAAGUUCCUGAAAGAUGUUGUAGCUGCAAAGAAGAAGGAAAUGGAAAGCAUGAUGAUUCAUACCCAUGAGUGCAGUUCCAUCAUCCAAAGGCUUGAUGUUCCAGAGAAGUUAGAGGAUCCANNNNNNNNNNNNNNNNNNNNNNNNNNNNNNNNNNNNNNNNNNNNNNNNNNNNNNNNNNNNNNNNNNNNNNNNNNNNNNNNNNNNNNNNNNNNNNNNNNNNNNNNNNNNNNNNNNNNNNNNNNNNNNNNNNNNNNNNNNNNNNNNNNNNNNNNNNNNNNNNNNNNNNNNNNNNNNNNNNNNNNNNNNNNNNNNNNNNNNNNNNNNNNNNNNNNNNNNNNNNNNNNNNNNNNNNNNNNNNNNNNNNNNNNNNNNNNNNNNNNNNNNNNNNNNNNNNNNNNNNNNNNNNNNNNNNNNNNNNNNNNNNNNNNNNNNNNNNNNNNNNNNNNNNNNNNNNNNNNNNNNNNNNNNNNNNNNNNNNNNNNNNNNNNNNNNNNNNNNNNNNNNNNNNNNNNNNNNNNNNNNNNNNNNNNNNNNNNNNNNNNNNNNNNNNNNNNNNNNNNNNNNNNNNNNNNNNNNNNNNNNNNNNNNNNNNNNNNNNNNNNNNNNNNNNNNNNNNNNNNNNNNNNNNNNNNNNNNNNNNNNNNNNNNNNNNNNNNNNNNNNNNNNNNNNNNNNNNNNNNNNNNNNNNNNNNNNNNNNNNNNNNNNNNNNNNNNNNNNNNNNNNNNNNNNNNNNNNNNNNNNNNNNNNNNNNNNNNNNNNNNNNNNNNNNNNNNNNNNNNNNNNNNNNNNNNNNNNNNNNNNNNNNNNNNNNNNNNNNNNNNNNNNNNNNNNNNNNNNNNNNNNNNNNNNNNNNNNNNNNNNNNNNNNNNNNNNNNNNNNNNNNNNNNNNNNNNNNNNNNNNNNNNNNNNNNNNNNNNNNNNNNNNNNNNNNNNNNNNNNNNNNNNNNNNNNNNNNNNNNNNNNNNNNNNNNNNNNNNNNNNNNNNNNNNNNNNNNNNNNNNNNNNNNNNNNNNNNNNNNNNNNNNNNNNNNNNNNNNNNNNNNNNNNNNNNNNNNNNNNNNNNNNNNNNNNNNNNNNNNNNNNNNNNNNNNNNNNNNNNNNNNNNNNNNNNNNNNNNNNNNNNNNNNNNNNNNNNNNNNNNNNNNNNNNNNNNNNNNNNNNNNNNNNNNNNNNNNNNNNNNNNNNNNNNNNNNNNNNNNNNNNNNNNNNNNNNNNNNNNNNNNNNNNNNNNNNNNNNNNNNNNNNNNNNNNNNNNNNNNNNNNNNNNNNNNNNNNNNNNNNNNNNNNNNNNNNNNNNNNNNNNNNNNNNNNNNNNNNNNNNNNNNNNNNNNNNNNNNNNNNNNNNNNNNNNNNNNNNNNNNNNNNNNNNNNNNNNNNNNNNNNNNNNNNNNNNNNNNNNNNNNNNNNNNNNNNNNNNNNNNNNNNNNNNNNNNNNNNNNNNNNNNNNNNNNNNNNNNNNNNNNNNNNNNNNNNNGCAUUUUCAUCAUAUAGAUUAGGAUUUAGCCAUGUCUAGGUUGCAUUUUGCAUACAUAUGUCUCUAUCAGGUAUUUGAGUACCACAUGGAGUUUCUGGAGACAUUUGGGUGCAUUUGGAGCUCAAAGGAGGUGAUUAGAGUGGUCUUUGGACGAGCACUGCCUGGAGCGACUUCUCGGAGCGACUACAUGAGGUCGCUGUGCACCACAUCCCGGAGCGACUCAUCCAGAGCGACUGCACGAAGUCGCUCGCGUUUUCACAUCCGGAGACACACAUAUUUGACCCUGGAGCGACCUUCCAGAGCGACGUGCUGAAGUCGCUCCCGAUGUUCAGAGCGACCUGCUGGAGUGACACACCAAGGUCGCUCGCGUUUGUGCCGUCGGAGACACUAAAAGUGGCUCUGGAGCGACUUGCUGGAGCGACACCUGCAAGUCGCUCCGCGUUAUUUUGCUGCCGAAAAUUACAAUUUCUCGGGGACCUUUUUGCAAUUUGAAGGCACGUUUUGCACUUCUAAAAACCUAUGUUUUUUAAUACUUUGUAAGCCAUUGGAGGCAAGAGAAUCUCUUUUCUAGAGAAGAACUAGUAAAAAACCUCUUUUGAUUCAGAUUUCAUUGCUUUCAUCUUGUGUUCUUGUUGAUUUCUUAUCUAUUUCUCUACAUGGUUAAUCUGAAAUCCAAUAUGGGUUUAAGAGGAAUCAUGGAGAUUAGUGAGUAAUCACCUUUUGAAUUCAUGGGUUAGGGAGAUUAAGGGUGAUUAGGUUAGUUCUAGGAUGUUUUAGUGUAGAUCAUUCUUGUUCCUUGCUAGUAGAGUAUUCAUAAUGCAUCUUCUGAGUUGGCCACUCAAAAGUUGAUCAAUAGACAUUUCCCACCCAAAAGGUGUUUGAUGAAAUGCCUGAGACAACUCUCCUAGGCUUUUAGUAUACUUUGCCAAAGACAUUUGUUGUUAAAGGUGCUAAGAUAGCUAAUAGACUUGUUAGUAAUGAUUGCUUUCAUAUUAUUCAACCAAAGACAUUUGAUGUUUGAGAUAUGUUAGCAAAUGAGCAUUCAUCUAGACAUAGAGCUUGCUUAGAAUUGUGUCUAGGCUUAAGGUUGAUAGUUUGAUUGAUCAUUUGCCAUCCUUAGUUCGAUACUUGAUCACCCAAGGUCUAAUCCCUAUGCCCAUGAGUUCUCUUUUCCCUUAGUCAAGAAAGUAUCAUUUUGUUAUUGCUUUCUAGUUUAGUAGUAGUUUAAAACCCAUCUAAAUCAUUGGUUGCACUUAGAUUAAGUGAGUACUUGCAUUCUCAGUGCUUUGAUAUCCCUCAGAACUGGUUCGACAAUCUUUUAUACUACAACAUUUGUCUUAGGAGCCUUGAAAACUCCUAACAGCACUAACAACUCCAUCUCUGAAGAAGUCUGGUCUUUUUGGACUCAGAUUCCCAUUCUCAAGUAGAAGAAACGUUUGUUAGGGUGUUUUAAUUUAAGCCUUUUUUUGUCUAGUUUUCUAUAUACUAAUGUAUGUGUAGUUGUAAGUUAAUAGGAGAAAGUACUGUGAGGACAAUAGUUUGCAACUUGUAAAAUUUUAUAAUAAAAUAAAUGGUUUCCUCUGUCUUUCUGAUUCAUUUUUUAAGAUAACAAAGAGAAUGACCAGACAAAUAAAAAUUUGCAGAAUUUUCAAUGAUCCAUUAUCCUUAACUUCUUUACUUGAGGCUGAAAAAACUGAAAACUGAAUCGGUUCUCAAGUUGUUGUAAAGACACUGUGAGUGAACAUCCCAGCUUAAAGAUGUCUCCAUUUUCUGCAGGAAAGAGAAAGGUUAAUAGGUUGCUUGACGGACAAGAAACCAGCAAUGAAAGAUUUGUUUUGAAGGAAAAGAUUAUUACAAGAGCGUUGAGAGAUGUGGUUUGGUUUGAGUUUAUGACCGAGUAAUCUAGAGAUCCUUGCUGGUGUAAUGGAAAAGAUCUUUGAUCCGCCAUCAUGGAUGACAAUUCAUGGAUAUGAAACUCAAGCUGUGGAUUCAAGAAGGAGAGUUUCAUGGACAAGAACUCGACUUGUUGCUGCAGAGAUUGGACGUAGUUGAUGAUCUCAUCAAGCAUACCGGCUUUACCAGUUACUUUGUUGCAUCCAGGAACAAUGUCUUGAAGACAUUUCAUCUUCUUGCUUAUCUUUUCUCUCCUUGCCUAUCAAAAACAAUCAGGUAAAAAGCAAUCUCUCUUAAAUUAAUCUGUGUAAUAACAACACUUUUAGUUAGUUACCCUUUCUGCUAAGCUAUGUCUGUCAGUGGCUUCACCUCUUCUAGCUCUCACAUGGAUGUAAUCUUGUUUCAGAACGUCUGAGGAUGUCUCUGUGUUGCUCAUGUCUGAGUUUCCUUUCAUGCUUGACUCUGUUUCAUCCUCUGCUUUGAUCUUCUUCUUCUUCUCUCUUGUUUCUCUCUUACCCUAAAACCAAAAUUUGAUUUAAGAUAAAAAAUAAACAAUCAAAAUCAAUGUUUAAACAAAACCUAAACCGCAUAAAUUUCUUGAGAUACAAACCUCAGGUUUUCUCUUGUUCUGCAAGGCAACGACUCUGUUUUCUUCAUUGCUUUUCACUGGUUCCAUUUGGAAGCUACUUGUCCUGGAGAUGCAGCCAUCAAUAGUAUCAUAACCCGGUCUGAAAUUCUGCAACUCAUCAAGAUUGUUUCCCAAGUAACUCUCAACCCUUCUGAGCUCUUCUCUACCAUCUGAGCCAAGUAUCUGAAGAAACUCAGGUGAAACCAUUUGUUGGUGUUGUUGCAGCCAUUUAAGUCCAGUCAAGUCCAUGGAGAGAAGGUUAAGAAACUUAGAGCUCUUAUCUUUUCUUAUGGGGUUUAAAGCUAAAGAGAGAGACAAAGAGAGAGUUGAGUUGUAUGUCUGGGGAGAAAUGUAAUCCAUUGGAUAUGAUUAUUCUUAGGUUUUAAUAGAAAGCAACAUUGACCCACACACAUGAGAUUCUAAAUCUAGUGAGAGAGUGACAAAAGUGGAGGAGGUUGGGGACAUAGAAGGUGAGAUGAGAAGUUGUGGGGUCUAAUUGACAUAACCUACCAUGUGGUCAUCUCCUUGUGAACAUGAGGUUAGGGGUGUCUUAAGUUAGUCUUUUGUGUCUUUCUCUGAUUUUUUUUUUAUAAAUAAUUUUAAUUGAAGAAAGAGUGUUUCUUAAGGUCGAGAAUGUGGGGAAUGUGAAUAAUGAAUCUUUACUUGCAAAUGAAUAGAAAACAAUGGUUUGAAUCAUGAGCGGUGGUUCAUGGCUUGUUGUGAAUCAAAACAUGAUUCUUGUGACGUAUUAUUACUACCAUUUAUCAAUCUAUAAGUUACACCAGUUUUUAUUCUGUUUCAUAUAUCAGGGAUAUCAUUAACCAUAAAUGUAUAUCUUAGAGAGAGAGAAUCUCUUGGAAUAUUUUGAAAACAUUACUUUAUUUAAUAGAAAUUUUGGAAGUGAUAGGGACAACAAAGAGAGAGAGAUCCAAAGAAGAAAAUGGGUGUGAAGAUAAGUGAUAGGAUGUUAGGCGACAUAUCAAAGUGUUUGGUCCCUAUACAAUUAUUUUUUCUUCUAUAUUUUUGUAAUUACAUAUCUCUUACAUUAUCUAUAUACUCGGCGAGAUCAUUCAAGAGAAUCAAUACUGUUUUGCAAUUUUUUUUCAUUCGUAGAUGAUUGGAGAUUCUUAAUCUUGAAGGCAAUAAGAGAUUGUAGUUUCUCUUGAAUGUCGUCAGGCUACAGUUUAUGUAUGAGAAUGAGAUGGCAAAAUGUAAAGUUAUAAUAACAUUGAAAUAGACGUAUGGUUCUUAAUUGAUGAAGAACAUUUUUUCAAUUGUACUAAAAAUAGUGGAGAUUGUAAAUCCGAGUGGUUGGAUAUGCGUAUCUCUCUGUAGAGUUAGUUCAAGGUUAGUUACUACACCAUGUAUUCUUGUCUCAGUCGAUAAUUGGUCACAUGUCACUCGUAUCCAUCCAUGAUUCUUUUGGAAUCAUCAUCAAGAAGAAGCUGGUAAUGAGAUUAACAUGAAAAGAGUGAUCACAAGAAAUAUACUACAGGUACUAUAAACACCAAAACCAGAGCCACUCUGUUUUGCUACAACAAAGGGAGAUCUCUAACUGUCAUGAAAUGUAUCUGCGAAAAGGUAUUCCAUCUAAAGCUAACGACUGCACAUAUAUCUCAUGUUUUGUCAACAAAAUCUCUGAACAAGAACGUUCAAAUCUAGAAUUGUGUUAAAAUGUUUCUAACUUUCCAGGAAGCUUGGAACAGAUUCAGCUCAGAAGAAAGGUAGAGCCUUGUGUUGUUUACUUUGACCUUGCUAUAUGACUUGCUUCUAGAGUCGUUUAAGAGUAAACUAGAUACUGAUCCGCCCUUUUAAAAGGCGGGUAUUCUAUCUAUUAAAAUGUCAUUUUUCAAUUUUAAUAUUAUUUCUAAUUAGAUGUGUUUCAAUAUUUUAUUAUCUAAUAUGGUUUUAUUUUUAUAAAUUGUAAUUCUAAUUAGUGCAAGUAUGUGUUUGAAUAGUUUAUUAUCUAAUAUGGUUUUUAUUUUUAUAAAUUGUAAUGUAAUUUAUUUGUUAUUAGUAAAAUUGUGUUUACACAUAUAGGACUGCAAAUCCGUUGUUUGUUUAAUUCUUAAAUAUAUCACAUAUAUUAAUUUGUUUAUUUCUUAAAUGUAUAAUCUCAAUAAAAAUAAAACAGGUUUUUUAUGAUUUUAAGUAUAGAUAUUUUACACAAAUUGGCAUAAUGGGUUAAUAUAUUUGUUUAUCUCUUAAAUGUAUAAUUCCUGUAUAAAAAAUAAAACAAUCUUUUUAAUGAUUUUCACUAAAUAUAUUUUAACCAAAAUAGCCUAAUGGGUUAACAAUGGUUCAAUUUGGACCUAUCCAAUGGGUUUUAAAUUUCUGUAGAUCAUUAAAGAUAUUAGAAAAAGUUAUGGUAUGUUUUGUAAUUUUUAAAAAAAUUCAGGGACAUAAUCAUAAGAAGGAUUCUGCUUUAAUAGUAUAGAUAUUCUAUGUUUCCAAUUAGUUGUCUCUUAGGUUUAUUUUCUCUGAUUGCCACAAGGCCCACAACAUUAGAUGAUUUAAAAAAACGUUAUUCAUUUAUUUGAUUUACUUUGAACAAUAAAAACAUAAGAGAAAAUGACACAAAGAACACUAAGGGUCUGACUGGUGACCAUUCGGGAAUCAAGAGGAGCGAAUAAAAAAGGAAUGUACGGAAACAAAAUAUUAGGAACGAAAAGGAAUGGCUGUUCCUUAUCAAAUUUAACAAGGAAUCAUUUUGUUCUUAAAUUCUCUACAAAAAAGGGAAUGAAAGGGAAUGAGAAGGAAUUAUUAUUCCUUGUGAAUGGUGAUUUUUUUUAGGAACGUUAGAGAAUGCAUUAUUCCUCACCGUUCCCUGGUCACCAUUCAUACCCUAAGGGUUUGACUGGUGACCAUUCGGGAAACAAGAGGAACGGAUUAAAAAGGAAUGUUCGGGAAUAAAAUAGCAGGAAAGAAAAGGAAGACCAUUCGGGAAACAAAAGAAACGGAUUAAAAAGGAAUGUUCGGAAAUAAAAUAGCAGGAAUGAAAAGGAAUGGUCGUUCCUUAUCACUUUUAACAAGGAAUACUUUUGUUCUUUAAUUCUCUACAAAAAAAGGAAUGAAAGGGAAUGAGAGGGAAUUAUUAUUCCUUGUGAAUGGUGAUUUUUUUCAGGAACGUUAGGGAAUGCAUUAUUCCUCGUCGUUCCCUGGUCACCAUUCAUACCCUAAACCAAGUUUUCCUCCCCAAACUAGCACUCAGGAUCAGAAGUCACAAAAAUAGGUUUCAUUAAAGGGGCAAUUUACCCUUAUGCCCUCUUCUUUAACUAAUUUAAAAAACAAAUUUGAAAUCAGUUGUGGCCGUCCUCGUUUCAUCGCUUCUUCUUCUCCUCAUCGCUGUCUUUCUUCGUCGUCGUCUCUCCGGCGUUGUCGUCGUCGUCUCUCCGUCGUUGUCGUCGUCGUCUCUCCGUCGUCGUCUUCGCCUCUCCGUUGAUCCGUCGUCGUCGUCUCUCCGUUUAUUUAUCGUCGUCGUCGUCGUUUCUCAAUUGAUCUGUCGUUUCUACGUCUAUUCAUCUCAUUCUCUCUCUCGUGUGUCUGAUUUUGAUUAAGGUUUGAAUCAUUUCAUUUUGUUAUACAUUAUCUAGGUUUUGUUAUAUAUUAUUCAUUUGUUGAUGAAUUGAAGUUGAUUUUGUAGAACAAUGGAAGUUUUGUGCAUCUGUGGACAAUGGAUCUCAAAAGAAUCUCUCCAGUGGGAGUUUCUUGUUGAUUUGAAGAGGAAUGCAUCAAUCAUUUCCAUAGAAGAAGAUCUACUGUAUGAAGAUUUGAUGAAGAUUGUCUCUGAAGAUUUUAGUGUUAAAGAGGAAGAAAUCAGUUUGAGUUAUGGUUUUUCAUUGGAUAAGAAAUGUAUUAUUGAAAGUUUCCCCCCACUCUCGAUAGGUAAUACUCGUCAGCUCAGAACUUUCAUUUCCAAGACUAGAGCAUUUGAUGGAACCUGUCGUUUGUGUGUUAAGGUUUGUAUGAUUUUUUUUUCUUACUUAGACUUUUCAGGAUAUGCUUCAUAACCAAGUAUUAUGCCUUACAGAACUACUUGACUUUUGCAGGUUAGUACUAAUCCAGCUAGCUGUAACACUCAAGCUUCUGAUACAUUUGCUUCUACUGUUCCAUUGAAUGCCAAUCCAGCGCUUCUUUCUACUGUGCAGAGUGAAAAACAGGUACAUUGUCCUUAAUUCCCUUUUUCUGUUUGUGUUUGCAUGAUAUGCUUCAUAAUCAAGUAUUAUGUCUUACAGAACUACUUGACUUUUGCAGAGUUUUCUAUAUGAAGUUGUUUCUACAGUUCCUCUGAAUGAUCUUCCGGAUUUUAGUACUGAUUCAGCUAGCUGUAACAUUCAAGCUUCUGAUACAUUUGCUUCUACUGUUCCAUUGAAUGCCAAUCCAGUGAUUCUUUCUACUGUGCAGAGUGAAAAACAGGUACAUUGUCCCUAAUUCCCUUUUUUUGUUUGUGUUUGCAUGAUAUGCUUCAUAAUCAAGUAUUAUGCCUUAGAGAACUACUUGACUUUUGCAGAGUCUUCUAUAUGAAGGUGUUUCUACAGUUCCUCUGAAUGCUCUUCCGGAUUUUAGCCCUGUCCAUAUUGGACUUUCACCAAACACGAGAGUAGCUGGCGAUAUUAAGGUGAAUAGCUAUUUUAAGACAAAGAGAGAGUUGAUGUUGAGGAUGAAGAAAUGGGCUUUAGAGUGGAAGUUUGAGUACAAGACUGUCUCUUCUAACAAGUCAAGAGUGCUUUUGAGUUGUGUUGAUGAAAAUUGCACCUGGAGGAUGCGUGCUAUCAAGCUACCUGUUUCAGAUUUUUUCGUUGUUAAAAAGUAUGUUCAUGAGCAUACAUGCGAUACAACACACAGGAAAGCCAACCACAGACAAGCAUCUGCAAAGUUGUUGGGUUCUUUGAUUUCCAGCAAUUAUGGAGAAAAAAAGGAAGGUCUCAAACCGAAACAGAUCAUUGAACAGGUCAGGAUGCUGCAUGGUGUUCACAUCAAUUACAAACAAGCUUGGAGAGUGAGAGAAGAAGCUCAGAUUUUGGUUAGAGGGACUCCUGAAAACAGCUAUUACAAUUUGUCUAGGUGGUUGUAUAAAAUCACAGAAACAAACCCUGGUUCCUUGACUUAUCAACAUGUUGAUGCUGCAGGAAAGUUCAAGUAUGCAUUUGUGGCUUUUGGUCCAUCGAUAAGGGGAUUCUCAUUGAUGAGGAAAGUUAUUGCAGUAGAUGGUACAUUUCUGAAGGGAAAAUUUAAUGGGACUUUAUUGACAGCUUGUGCUCAAGAUGGGAAUUAUCAUCUAUAUCCUCUCGCCUUUGCAGUGGUUGACGCAGAAAACGGCGCCUCUUGGAAAUGGUUCUUUAGAGGUUUGAGCCAGAAGAUCCCGGACGCUUCGGAUCUUGUUUUUGUAUCAGACAGGGCUAACUCCAUUUCUUCAGCGUUGGAGGAUGUAUAUCCCUUAUCUCACCAUGGAAUUUACAGGAUCCAUCUGCUCCGCAACAUCACUCCUACAUAUGCGAAGACUGGGUUGCUACCUCUGGUGGAAAGCGCUGCUGAUGCCUAUACGUGUCACGAGUUCUGGUUAAUCUUCAAGGACAUAAAGGAUAAAUGUCCUGAAUUGGCUAAGUAUCUGGAAGAGUCUGAUUUUAGGAAGUGGGCACGAAGCUAUGCGCCUGCGAACAGGUAUAAUAUCAUGACUACCAACAUUGCAGAGUCUCUGAAUUCUAUGUUGAAGAUGCCUCGUGAGUUGCCCAUUAUCUCUCUCCUUGAAACUAUCAGAUUGACGAUGACCACUUGGUUUUUUAAGCGACGCGAAGCGGCUGCGAAACAUAAGCACCUGGUUACUCCAAAAGUUGUGCAGAAAUUGGUAUCUAGGUUAGGGGCCGCAAUGUUGUUGAAUGUGUAUCAAGUUGAUCGAAGCGAGUUUGAGGUGAAGGAUGAAACAAUGAAGUUUGUUGUUGACUUGGAGAAGAGGCAUUGCACAUGUAAUGUUUUCGACAUUGACAAGAUCCCCUGCAUCCAUGCCAUUGCUGCUGCUAAGCAUAUCAAGAGAGAUGAAAACCGUUUUGUUGAUGCUUCUCACUUGACAGAAACGUGGGCUAAAGCUUAUGCUGAAAGCAUACAUCCUGGUGGAGAGUUGUCAACAUCCACCUAUCCAGAGAAUAUUGAUGAACUGUCUUGCCCACCUCCAGCUACCAAAAAGAAAAGUGGACGCCCUCCUACAAAGAGAAAGAGAUCCGUUGGCGAGUUUGGGGUUCCUGGAUCUAAAUCUCAGUCCCACAAGUGCAGCAGAUGUGGCACAGGAGGGCACAACAAGAUCACAUGCCAGAGGCCUAUAGGAUGAAGUUCUACAUUUUUACAUUUUUAUCGAUUAUUAUUUGGAUGUUGGCUAUUUGAUGGUUACAUGAUAUGCACAAGACCAUAUACAUUUUUUCUUUUGGAACCCUAUCCUGAAUAAGUAUGAUUUCUUCCAACUUUUGUAAUAUACAACAUUAUCUUUUAAACUCAUUUCAAUUUUUAGUUUAAACUUCUUUGCUAGAAAAAAACACAGUAAUAUUCAACUAUUCUGGAAUCCCAUCCAGAAAUACCGAGUUCAUUUCCAAGGUUUAUAAUACAACAUUUUCUGUUAAGAAUAAUUAUGUGGAAAAGUGUAACAGAUGAUUCUCCUCGGUCUAGCGGCUAAAACACCUAUCUGUCGAAAUUGUAACGCUUGACUCGACCCGGGUUCGAUUCCCCUACUAAUCAGAGUUUUUUAAAAAAAUUUAAGUUGAAUAAAAAUAAAAGAGAAUAUAUUACUUUACUUACAACAUGUAAUGACUGAAAUUAACUUGGCCUAGUGGCUACUACACCUUAGUUCCCUCUUUCCUCCUAGUCAUCUUCAGGUUCGAAUCCUAUGAGAUGUGUAUAUAUAUAUUUUUUUUCCUCCAAAAUUUGCAAAUCACAUUAUCAAAUUUUCCAAAUGUGUAGAUAUUAAUCCUUAGUUUUGAUCUCAUUUCAUUUUUUUCUAGUUUAAGAAAGAAGCACACUAACAUUCAUGUAUAUUAUUCAUUAGGGGUGGGCACUUUAUCCGAUAUCCGAAGUGGCACCCGAACCCGAUCCGAAAAACCCGAACCGAAAUCCGAACCGAAGUAGUAAAAUACCCGAAUGGGUAUUGAAUUAGGAGAGAUUGGAUACCCGAACCCGAAUGGAUAAUAUCCGAACCCGAAUGGAUAUCCGAAGAUAACCGAACAUAUGUAUAAUUAACCUUAUAUUUCUAGUUUACAUCUCUUAUUUUAUAUAAAAUAUUUAUAUUAAUACUACACAUACUUUAAGUUCAUAUGAUAUACAUGCAAUUACGGAAAAAAUGAUUUGGUACUCACUUAAAAAGCAUGUCAAGUUUUUUUUAUUUCAAAAAUUAACAAAAAGUUACAUCCAAAAUUUUAAAACAAUAACUAAAUUAAUGCAUUUUUAGUUUUAAAAUGUUAUGUCCAAAUCUAUUAACCAUUUAAUCUAUUAAAAAUAAAAAAUAAAGUUAAGUAAAAUUUAUAUUCUUAAAUACAAGAAAUUUAAGAAAUGAAAAAUUUAAUUUUUUUUCAAAAUCUAAAUAUCCGAACCCGAUCCGAAAUAACCGAAACCGAACUAAAAAUACCCGAACCCGACCCGAAAUAUAGAAAUACCCGAACGGGUCCUACACCUCUAUACCGAAAUACCCGAAAAUCCGAAAUACCCGAUCCGAACCCGAACGGGUACCCGAACGCCCACCCCUAUUAUUCAUGCAUACUCUGGAAGCCCAUCCUGAACUAUCUAAGAUCUUUCCAAUGUAUUUUACUAUAAAUUUUAUGGCUAAAUUCAAUUAUGUGGAAGCAACUAACAGAUGAUUCUCCUCAGCCUAGCGGCUAAACCACAAAACCUAUGAUACCGAAACAUUUGUUCGACCCGGGUUCGACUCUCCUACGAUUAAUGGUUGAUUUUUUUUUUUUUGUUCAAACAUAUAUCUCAGGAAUCGAAGAGUCUCUUCCAAACUACAUCAUGUAACUCAGUAACCGAAGAGUUUCUUUUCGUCAAGAUUGGCUGUUAUAUGAUUGGUUAUUUCAGUAACUGACUUCAAAAAUCGAAGAGUUCCACAAUAAUCAAGAGUUUAUUUUAACUGACUUCAAUAAUCGAAGAGUUCCUUUUAGUUCUAUAAAUAUAAGGGACGAUAUCAGACCUUUUAUUCACUCACUUCAUUUCGUCUGAUUUAUCCUUUUGCAAUACAAGUUAGUUUUCGAUUAUUCUCAUUUUCCAUUCAAUUCAUGAACUUUUUUCUAUUUCUAUUUUAUCGUAACAUCUUAGUUUCGAUUUUGUUGCAGGACAAAGUUUCAAUGGAAGGAAGUUCAAAGAAGAUGAUGAAGCGUCCCAUAGAGGAGGUUUACGGAUGUGAUGCCGCCGAAGGUUUCAAUACGGGGAAGAAAGAAACUGUGGUACAUUACAGGGCUCUUCUUCGUUUGUCCAACGAAUACAGGCUAUCUGAGAAUGAUUGGAAUCUGGCAUCCAGCAAAGCAAAUUCAAUUGCUGUCCAAAUCGAGUUGCUUGAAGAUAUUAUCAAAGCUGAUGGAAAAUUUGAUUUAACUGCUGAGUUGGAGAAACUUAAAGAAGAGCACUCGGAAGCGGAAGGAAUGCUUGCUGAUGUGAAGGUCAAAGUCCCUGAUUGGGAUAAACUUGGCGAAAGUUGGCUGUGUCAUGAGUAAUUUCAUGUUAUCAUCUUCUCUUUUUAUGUUUUUAAGGACCACAUUAUGUUUGAUUUUCAGUUUUUAUUUUAAAUGAAUAAGUAUUUUUGUUUCUCUUGUGUUGUUUCUUCAAUUAACAACCUAAAUAAAAAAAUUGUUCAAUGUUUUUCACUAUUUUGUAAUGGUUUGGCCUAGUAUUCUUGUAACUUGGUUAUCUGAUUUGCUUAUUUGUUUUUGGAAAGCCAUCCUGAAUACAUAAAAUGAUAUCCAGAUUAUAUAAAUCUAUCGUCUGUGAAUAAAUAAGUUCACAUUUACUCUGUUAUCGAAUAUCCACCGUAGCCUAGUGGCAAGCCCUUCUACUCUUAGUGUACCCUUAUCACACAAUAAGCCGUGUUCGAUCCCCGUUGUGUAUACUCACAUUUUUUUCUGUUUUUAAUUAAAUAUUCAAAAGUUAUUUUCGUUUUAUUAUAGCUUUUGGCAAGUAUAACACCCUUGGUACAACGGCUGCACACUUUGAUUCUUCUUUCGAGAGUUCACGAGUUCAAUCAACAUCAGAUCACAUUCUUUUUCAUUUUUUUUUUGUAAACUUUAAAGGAAUUUGUUUUUGGAAAGCUAUCCUGAAUACCUAAAAUGAUAUCCAGAUUAUAUAAAUCUAUCGUCUGUGAAUAAAUAAGUUCACAUUUACUCUGUUAUCGAAUAUCCACCGUAGCCUAGUGGCAAUCCGUUCUACUCUUAGUGUACCCUUAUCACACAAUAAGCCGUGUUCGAUCCCCGUUUGUGUAUACUUACACUUUUUUCUGUUUUUAAUUAAAUAUUCAAAAGUUAUUUUCGUUUUAUUAUAGCUUUUGGCAAGUAUAACACCCUUGGCACAGCGGCUGCACACUUUGAUUCAUCUUUCGAGAGUUCACGAGUUCAAUCAACAUCGGAUCACUUUCUUUUUCAUUUUUUUUUGUAAACUUUAAAGGAAUUUGCUAGGCUUUGGUGCAUUUUGCUUUCUCACUCUUUUUCUGGAAACCCAUCCUAAAAGUACCAUAAGCAUUUGACAAUUCAUCAAUACAUCCUAAAAAUUUUUCAAUAACAAUCUAAAUGAAAAAAACGUUAGGGAUUCAUUACAAACUUAAACUUAAACGUUAGGGAUAACUAAUAUCAAAGUAGAAAACAGAGUAGAAAACAGAGUAGAAAACAGAGUAGAACAAAUAUGACAUUUUCACUUCCUUUGACCUUCCUGGAAAUCUUUAUCCAUAAACUGGUCGAAGAUCUCACAACAUAGCUUGCUUCGUAAGUCCAUCGCAGUUUCAUCAUUUAUAUUAGCCAUGCUCUUCAAUUCCAGUGACCUGCAUUCCAGCAUCUUCACAACAAAAAUACCACAGUUGUAUGGAAAUUUUGUCUUUGGAAGCCCUUCUGCAAACUUAACUUCAAAUGGACUGAUAUCUUCGAAAUUAACCUCUUCACCAAGAAGUUCCAUCUUUAUGGCACUAAUCAACACUGUCAUAAAUACCCAAAAUUAUACAAUAAAUCAAUCACCAACAGACAACAAAAUGAAUAUGUAAAAAUGCAGCACAAGCACAAGCAGCAACAGACAACAAAAUGAAUAUGUAAAGAGUUUUUACCUGCCAGUUCUUGGAUUUGAUUAAGAGCACGUUUGAUAUUUGCUUUUGGAAGACCACAAUGGAAGAGUGUGAUUGUGUUGUCCAUCAAUUGUAUCUCCACCCCAAUAUAGUGAUAGCUCAACUUAUCUUCAAUGACACCAUAUAUAACAUCAACAUCUUCCAGCCAUACCUUCUUUGGAUGUAUUAAACCUUUCACAAGUUCGCCUACACAGCCCUCCAAUAACGUUUGUUUUUUCUUAUGUGGCUUCCUGACAGAUUCAUAAGCGUACCCAACUACUUCUAAGAAUUUGACUGGUACAAAGCAUGCUGCUGGAAGAUUGUUGUUGCGGAACCAAGCACCUUGCUCAACCCUCUUACAAUUUAGCAUUUCAAAUGCAACAUUUAUGUGCUGCCAAUGUAACAAUAUAGUUAGAAACUUCAUAUAGAACUGCUAUAACAUGGACAUCUAGCAUAGCUCAACUCAACCUCUUCCUAAACAUAUGACACAAUCGAAUAGAAGACAGAACAGAGUGUUGAUUACCUCUUUGUUGAGAUUGUUUUCUGCAUCGUCCAUUUUUUGAAAGAACUCUUUUUCAAUUUCUUUUCCAUUGAUAUAAAACGGUCUGUAGUUGAUAAAAUUAACUAGUAUCAAUCGAAACUUUUACAAAAUAAAUUAGGAAUAUUUAUGCGAGGACAAAAAGUUGCUUACACACGAUAUAUGCCCCGUAGAUCCAUCCAGUGUGCAAGCCUUGAAAACCGAGGAAAUUCAUGUGUCACAAAUGGAUCAAUUGGAAGGAUUACCUCAGGUGUUACAGGUAUAGGAGGGUUUCUAGGUCGUAUUGGCCUCUUCUCUUCUCGCUGUAGAAAAGGAAGCAUAUCUACUGGCUGAGCAUUUGCUUUCUUCUUCUUACCAACAUCAGGCUUCCCCUUUAAUUAAAAAUAAAGACAAAAAUUCAGGAUCGUUUUUAUCUUUAUACUUGAAUGCCUUCCUAAUAUGAAGUAAAAAUAUUUUUUAUACCUUUUUUGCAUGAUCGUCUUGACUUGGUUUCACACUCUUACCCUGCUUUACUUCCAUCUGUGAAACAAAACCGAUAUAUCAAACUAUUGACCUGAACUUUAAUUCAAGUGGAUCUUAUUCAUUUUUAUUACCUCUUUUGCCAUUUUCCCAACACCAUCUUCUGAUGGACCAGCUGCUUCAUUUUUCUUACAAGCGACAGCCUUCGCCUUCCCCUUUUUGAAUGACAAAAAUUCAGAUACAUUUAUAUCUUAAUUCCUAGUAUGAUGUAUAAAUAUUUCAUACCUUUUUAUCACCAUCUCCUUCACUUGGAUUCACACUCUGCGUCUGCUCUUCUUCCAUCUGAAAAUCAAUACCGAGAUAUUAAACAAAUGACAUUAUUUUUCAAUUCAAGUGAUCCAAGGCAUUUGUUUUACCUUUUUGUCAUCUCCCAAACACCAUCUACCCAUUUUCUUGGUUUUCGCAUCUCAGAAUGGUGGAAGUAAAUUUGUUCUUUAGAAUUGUUCAAAGAGACAAAACACGAGCCAUCAAACAAAAUGACUUUAACUUUUCCAGCGCACCAGGCACCAUUGUCGAACGCCUCCACGUCCUGCAUUAGCUAAUAACUUUUCUUCGCUCCAGAUCUCUCAGGUGGUGGUUGAGGACGUAUUCUGUCAAUUGAUACACGUGUCUCAACACUCCUUUUCCUCUUCUUUUCGUCCAGAGACGGGACGAAGUACUCAACUUUCACCAUCUCAACCCCAUCAACCAAAUAUGUUGCCAACACAUUUCCUGGAUACCAUUUAUGACAAGUAUUGUCAUCUUGUGAUGAAAUCUCCACAUUUGCUCCGAUCUCAAAGGGAUUUUGAACUCUGCUUUCUACAUCCUGUGAUGGUUUAGAUUCAAGGAUAUCCAGUCAUUUUGAUAGUUGAUGUGUAUUUAUUAAAGGUUUUAAUGAAAGUAAUACCUUAUUUUGCUCUGUUAAAAGAUUUCUGCGAGCUCGGGUAUUUGGCUGUGUGUCGGAAAUGUUUGGUGAAAUGAUCUCAUUCAUAAGCUCGUGAGUCUCCUGAAUUCAGGAAUGGUUGAAUGAACACGUACAAGGGCUUCCAAAAAUUACUUGAAAAGUCCAAUUUUUUAAAGAAACUACCUGCUGCGUCUGAAUUGGAGUAAGGACUGGAGUCUCAAUAUUCUGUUGAGCUAUUGGAGAACCAGGUGUCUCUUUCGUGAUCUCAUUCAUAGGCUCUCGUGUAUCCUGAAGUCAGGAAUGGGAUUAUGAACUCGUACAAGAACUUCCAAAAAUUAAUUUAAGUACAACCAAAUUCAUAAUUUUAUAAAUACCAACAGUUUUCAAAAUUAUACUUGCCUCAUUGUUAAGUUGUUCAUCUGCUUGAUCUGCAUUGGCUUCACCUUGUCUGGAAGCCGUCUCAUGAAAUGGAGUUGUGUCAGUCUGUGCAAGUACAACAAAAAUUAGGAAGGCAAUCCUAAAUAUGUAUAACAUCUUCCAAAAUUACUUGACAACUCAAAAAAAAAACUGAAUCAAGAACUAGAUAAACAUUAAUUUUAAUUUCCGAAAAAAAAGUUACCUCAUUGUUUGGGGUUUCAUAUGAAGUAACUCUUUGUAGUUUCUCUAGUUUUGUCACACGUUCUUUAAUCUGUUUCCUGUCUUUUUCAAUCAAACACAAACGAUCGUUCAUGAUCCUUAAAUUAUCUCCCACCAUCUCGCUGAUUCUGUUGAUCUUUGAUUCCAAAGACUCCUCCUGAUACGAAGAAGAAGCUUGACUCAUCCCUCCAUUCCCAAACAGUAAAGAUGCUCUUCUUAUUUGUUCAUUAGCACCGUAUAGGUCUACUGACAUGUUUCGCCAAUCUCUAAUUUUAAACUUAUAAUCUCUCUUGGAUAAAUCGGCCAUGUCAUCCAGAUCUUUAUUAGCUUCGUCUUCCAUGCAAACAUCAGCUUCUGGAUCAUUAGAAAUAGGAGGUAGGAUGCAUGUGACCUUAAGCUGAAACCAUAAAAAUAAUUAGUUUUUAAAUGGAGAAUCAUAAGGCAAAACAGAAACAAGAAAAAAAUAAUGUAAAAACUUACAUGAUCUUUGAUUUCAAUUAGGAGAACAUCUAUCAGCUGUGGAGAAGCUAUUUGAAGGUACUUCUCACACAAAAAUAUUGGGGUAGACGGUUGAACGCUCAGAAUAGGAACAACUUGACUGAAUGCAUACUGUAGCAAAGGUACUGACUCAAGUAUCCAUAUAAGAAAUGCCAUAGGGAAUCCUUGCAAAUCAUAAUUGUUUUUGUCGAGGCUUUUGUCGACAGCUCUCUGAAGUGAUUUUAACAGCAAAUUAUAAGCUGUUCUCCCCCAUGGGUAUGUCAUCAAGACAUCUAUAUCCUGCGCUAUUUUCACAUAAUCCAAAGUAAAAGUUGUGCCACCGUCGAGAAGGCUCUUCUGUAGUAGUAUGAGUACGCCCUUUACAAGGCGGAAUCUCUCAUCAGAAGCAUCUUCUCUUGUGUUUCUGAGCUGCUUCUCCACGUCCUUUACUGGAUGAGUACGCCCUUUUAGGAAGUCCCACUUAAAUUUCUCGGUUUCCUCUCGUGGUUCUCUUGCUUCACCACUACAUUUCAAACCAGUCACCAUGUGGAAUUCUCUUAUAGAGAACCUCAUUGGCUGAGCACCAAAAUGGAACCAUGCUUCGUGUCUCUUCACUGUCUUGAUGCUUUUGGUGAGAACUGCGUGCACUAUCUUAGCUGAUAAUUUCAAAGACCUCUCUCCAAGCUUGAUCACCGGUCCCAAAAACGUCCCUCUUAUUCUGUUGAACUCAUCAUUUCCUAGAAUUUCCUUAACAGUUUUGAUAUAAGCAACUAUCGAGUGUUGGUUUAUCGAUAUCGUCUUCUCUGGCUCUGAUCCAAUCGGAUACCUCAGCUCAGGUAGUGCUAGUCUUAAUGGUAAUGGAUCUCCCAUCUUGUUUCUAUCCUGCGUAAACAAGAAAAAUUUUAUUUGUCUAAAUUAAUUAAAAUCCAAUUUUCAGGAAGGGUUUCCUGAAACAAUACAAAUCCUUCCUGAGUCUAUACACAUGCUUUCACAUGAACUAGAAUUCUACCAAUCAUAUUAGGUUAAAACGAGCAAGUCUAUACACAAGCAAAAACCAGGAGACCAAUCUCUCAGAAAGAAAACACACAUAAGGUUGAAUCUGCAACAUACCUUAAAGAGAUAGAGCUCUAGAAAUGGUUUUUCUCGGAGAAUAGAGAGAGCUCGCGUAAAAGAUCGAGAGAGAGAGAGAGUUCUGGAGAUGGGUUUUCGUCGGAGAUCGAGAGAUAUGGAGAUGAGAGAGAGAUUCGAGAGGCGGAGACGAGUGAGAUUCGAGAAGUUUGAAACGGCGAGAGUGUUGAGACGGCAAGAGUUUUGUCUUUUUUCAAUCGAAAUGUAUUGUUUUGGAAAUCUAUCCUAUAUUAAUUGGUUUAAGUAUGUUUAUGUAAUAUUCUUUAACAGAUGAUUCUCCUCAGACCAGCGGUUAAACCAAGGCAUUUCAUAACUCAAAAGUCUCUCUAUCCCCGGGUUUGAUAUGUGGUGGAUUCAAAAUCAAUUUUAAUUUUUUUUGUGUUACAGUUUGGAGUUAAAUAAAAUUAAAUGUAAUCCAUUAACAGAUGAUUCUUCUUGGCCUAGUGGCUAAACUCCCACACUAUCCAAAUACGCAAACUCUCUCCCUCUGGGUUCGAUCCUUUGUGGUUCUAAAUUUUUGUUGUCUGUAAACAUCACAAUUUUAAGCUUACCAUAUACAUGUCCAAUCCUUAGUAUAUAAUCUCAUUUCAUUCUUUUUUACAUUUGAAACACUUAACUUUUUUCUGGAAACCCAUCCAGAAACAUUAUUUUAACCUUCCAAGAUAUAUGAUACCCAAAAAAAAUACUUGAUAUCCUUCCAAUCUUUCUUAUGUAACCAGACGCCAACAACAUAACAAAAUAAACAGUCAUAACUAAAACCGAGUCUUAACUAAAACAAAAAAUGUUUUCAUGCAUCAUUCUCAUUUCCCAAAGCUCUCAUCCACAAAUUGGCUGAAUAUCUCACAAGACAAGGUUCUCCUUAGCUCCAAUGCAUUGUCAUCAUUAAUCUUUGUCAUGUCUCCUAUCUUCAAUGACUAGCACUCCAGAAUCUUGACAAGAAAUAUCCCACAGUUGAAAGGAUGUUUUGUCUUGGGUAAACCUUGUGCCUGCUCAAUCUCAAAUGGAAUCAUCUUCACUUUAUCUACCUCAUCACCAGAAGAUUCCACCAGCAGAUUAGUAAUCAACACUGUCAUAUUUAAAAAUCAAUAUCAAGAUAGAAUCAGUUGAAUAUUUCAAACCAAGAAACAGUUGAAUACAUUAAAUACAAAUUGUUUAUACAUACCUGCCAACUUUUUCACUUGAGGAAUAUCAAUGCUGUUGCUUUCCUUUUGAAAACAAUCAUAUACUGUGAUUCUUUUCUUCUUCAAAUGAAUUUCCAUCCCAAUCCAGACAUUGCUUUUUUUUCCAAGAGUAAUCCCAUACACAACAUCAACAUCUUCUCCCCAUGUCUUCUCUGGAUAUACCUUCCCUCUCACAGUAUCUUUAAAUAUAUCGUUGAAAAUCUUUUUACCUUUGACCUUUUCUUUCUUGUAAGCCAAAUCAUCAGAGAGCAAGCAAUGCAAGAACUCCAUAGGUAGGAAGCACGCCUUUGGAAUCUUGUAGUUGUGGAACCAAGCAGCAUUCUCAUUUCUUCUGCAAUUUAGCAUUGCAAAGGCUCCAUCAAUGUGCUGCAAAAAAAAAAGGCAAACAUUAUCUAAUUUGUUACUAUAUAAUUCCUGAAACUAAACAAAUCCUUCCUGAAUUUUUUUUAAAAAAAAAAGCUCAAGGCAAGAACAUAUGUAAACAAAUUACCUCUUUCUUAAGGUCCUUUUUUGCAUUUUCCAUGCUUUGAAAGAAAGAUUUCCUUAUCUUAUUAUCAUUGAUUGAUAGGGACCUGCAGUCGAUUAAAGAUUCAAAGGAAUUUACCAAACCUCUUAUACAUAAAUAUAAGAAUAUAUAGACAAGGACAGAAACAUGCUUACGUUUCAUGCAUGUCGGGCUUUAAUGUCAUCCAAUUUUGAAGCCUUGAAAGCUUAUGUUCGGCAGGAGUUGAAAACGGAUCAACUGCAGGUAUAAUCUCAGGUAUUACAGUUAAAGCCGGAUUUCUGUCAGACUUGAAUGGAGUUUUUGUGUCUCUAGAUCGUUUAGUCACCCUCUCGCUCCUUCUUAGGAAAACAUUAUCCAUUCCUGAAUUUUGUGAUGAGGCAGCAGCUUUCCUUUUCUUAUCAGGCUUCACCUUUAAUCAAACAAUAGACACCAAGCAAAAUAUUAUCAAAUUUGUUGCAAUCGGAAUUUCUGGAAACCAUUCCUGAAACUAAAAUGUAUGUAUAUCAAACAAUUCACGUGAAGUAUAAUUCUAGUUAUGAUUUACCUUAUCUGCCAUCUUCCAGACUCCAUCUUUCCAUUCUCUAUGAAUUCGCAAAUCUGAAUGUUUGAAUAGAAUAGUUUCCAUAGAAGUAUAGAGACACACCGAGUAUGUGUUAUCACCAAGUACCAUGCUAAUUUGUCCGCUGCUCCAGCCAUUGUUGUAAAAGGCUUCUACCUUAUCCAUCAUCUCAAAGGAUUUUUGGUCACUAGUUGGUGUUGCAGGACGUAUUUUGUCAGCCGUGAUAGUAUCCUGAAGUUUCUGAAGUCUAUUAUGUUGGUAUGUGAAGAGUGUCGUGUACUCAACUGUCAGCUCCUCUAGUCCUUCACACAGUUUAAGAUCAACAACCUUUCCUGGAUACCAUAUUUCGUCAUCAGUAGACAAAAUCUCAACCUCUGCGCCUAUUUGAAAGUGAGCUAUACGCCUGCUUACUUCAACCUAUUAAAAAUGAAGAUUCAGUAACAUCAGCGGUUUUAAAUUGUUAGAAUAAUAAUUAAAGAUCAAAUAUACUCGAUGCAUACCUCGUUUGUUUCUGAAAAAAUCUAUAGCACUUGUCUGAAGAUGCUCUGUUUGCUGAGUAAUAGGCGGCAUCUUCGAAACAUAUGUGGAAACUAGCUCAGUAGUAGGUUCUGUAGUAUCCUUGAGAUUUUCUUCUGCUUGAUUCUGCUCUGAUGGUGUCUCAUCGGAUUGAUCUCCCUCACUUGUCUGAAGGUGCUGUGUUUGCGGAGUAAGAGGCUGUGUCUUCGAAACAUCUGUGGAAACUAGCUCAGUAGUAGGUUCUGUAGUAUCCUUGAGAUAUUCUUCUGCUUGAUUCUUUCUGCUUGAUUGUGUAUGCUCUCCUUCACUUGUAGAAAAAUAUUGGGUCGCAGUUUCUGUCUCACUCUAUAAGACAAAAGUAAAUGGUAAGAGUUAGUUGAAUAGAAAAAUAUUACAUAAACAUUUUAAAUAUUUCUUCUUACCAAAGCAUUCUUAUUUUCUUCAAUAACUAGUGCAAUUAGUGAAGACAAUGGAGAGGAAGGUGUGUGAUGCACAGCAUGCGUAUCCUCCUGUAGUAACAGUAAAAUAAAAGAGGUAGUUAUGAAGAAGUUUCUACAAUUUAAAAUUCAAGUUGUACUUAUGAAAGACAUUUCUAUGCUUACCUUUUUAUUGUUUGCUGAAAUGAUCUCAGUCAAUGGCUGUGUAGCCUCAUACGUUUCCUCUGUUACCGUCUGCAAAAAAAACAAAAAAAAAGUCAGGUAGGGGAUCAAAAACACGUACAAAAGCUUUCAAACAUUAGUUGAAAUCUCCAAGAUUUUUUGAACAUUUACCUGCUGUUUCUGAAUUGGAGUAAAAACUUGAGCCUCAAUACUCUUUGGAGAUAUUGGAGAAGAAGGUGUCUCAUUCAUUUCCAGUGUUUCUUUUUGCAAAACUUGAGUCUGAGCAGCAGGUGACUCAAUCACAAUCUGCAAAAAAUAUCAGGAAAGGCCAUCAUGAAUACAUUCAAUUAUAAUUUCUAGAGUAAAUAUUACCUCAUCAUCUGGUUUUCCUUCUUCUUGAUUAGUUUUGGGUGGCGUUUCAUCAGUAGAGGUUUGUGUUUCCUUCUGCCAAAAAUUAGAAAGGUCUAUAUAUGUAAAUCACCCAAAACUAAUUGUAAACUUCAACUGUCAUUGAGCAUAUACCUCUUUUGUCAGAUUAGGAGUAAAAACUUGAGUAUCAAGGGCAGGCGUGUCAUCCGAUGGCUCUCUCUCAAUCUGUAAAAAUUAUCACGAAGUCAAUCCAGAGUACGUUCUAAAGCUUCCAAACAUUAACUUAAAAAUCCAAGAUUUUUUUUUGACCAUGUACCUGUUGAGUCUGACUUGGAGUAUAAACGGGAGUUUCAAUACUCUUUGGAGCUAUUGGAGAAGAAGGUGACUUAUUCAUUUCCACUGUUUCUUUCUGCAAAACUUGACUCUGAGUAGCAGGUGACUCACUUGUUAAUUUCUCUCUCACAAUCUGCAAAAAAAUAUCAGGAAUGGCCAUCAUGAAUACAUUCAACUAUAAUUUCUAGAAUAAAUAUUACCUCAUCAUCUGGUUUUCCAUCUUGAUUAGGAUUGGAUGGCCUCUCAUCGGUAGACGUUUCUGUUUCUUUCUGUCAAAAAUCAGAAAAGCCUUUAUAUGUAAAAAAAAAUCACCCAAAACUAAUUUGUAAACUCCAACUGUGAAAACAAUAUCAUUGAGCAUAUACCUCUUUUGUCAGAUUAGGAGAGAAUACUUGAGUAUCAAGGGCAAGAGUUUCAUCAUCUGAUUCAUUCAUUGUCUCCUACAAAAAUCAAGAAUGCAUUCAAGAAUAUGUACAAAAGCUUCCAAAUAUUACUUCAAAACUCAACAAUAUUUUAUUGGUUACAUACCUUAUGUGUCAAAUUAGGCUGUUGAGACAUUGGAGAUAAAGGCGUCUCACUCGAUUGUUUCGUGUAAUCCUGCAAAAAUCAGGAAGGCAUUCAGGAUUUUGUACAAGAAUUUCCAAAUAUUUUCUUAAAAAUUUUUGAGCAUAUACCUCAUUUUGUUGAGACUUUGGAGAUGCAGCUGAUUCAAUCAUUGUCUCCUGCAAAAAUCAGGAAUGCAUUCAAGAAGUACAAAAGCUUUCCAAAUAUUACUUCAAAACUCAACAAUAUUUAUUGGUUACAUACAUCAUGUGUCAAAUUAGGCUGUUGAGACAUUUGAGAUAAAGGUGUCUCACUCGAUGGUUGCGUGUGAGACAUUGGAGAUAAAGGUGUCUCACUGGAUCGCUGUUUGUCAAAUAUUAGGAAGGCAUCGAAUAUGUACAAGAUCUUCAAAAAAAUACUUGAAAAUGCAAAUGUAAAAGAACAUGUUUUGAGAAUUUACCUUUUGUGUCACGUUAGUGGGAAAAACAUUGUUGUUUCCUUCCAACUCUGACACACGAGCUCUAAGAUGUAUGUUUUCUUCUUCUAGUAAUGACAUUCGAUCCUUCAUGCUCUUCAGAUUCUCCUCCAUUACCGUGAUGAUCCUGUUCACUUUUUCAUUUACUGAAUCCAAAUCAAUCGGAGUAGAAGCUUGGCCAGUCUCCUUAUUUGCCAUCAUUUGAAUAAGAGCAUCCAAUGUGUCAAAUGUGUCUACACACCUAUUUUCCCAGUCAUCGGCUGUAAUCUUGUACCCUUUCUUUGUUACAUCUUUCACUGUUUCCAGCUCGUCACUAUAUUUUUCUUCAAUGGAGAUAUCAUCUUCUGGAUCAUGAGGAAUAGAAGGUAGUAUGCAAUGGACCUUCAGCUGAGAGUAUUUAAAAAAAGACCAAUGAGAAACAUAUUAAAAAGAAGAAGCCAAAUAAACUGAGAAACAUAUACUUGGAAAAGCUUACCUUUGUAUCAGCUUCAACCUGUAAAACCCUAUCAAGUGAUGGAUUCUCUACCUCAGUGUAUUUUUCACACAAGUAAGUCGGCCCAGGAACCUCAACUGUUGGUACACACUUACUGAACUUAUCCCUUAGCAAAGGAAUCGACUCUAGUAUCCAAAGAAGGAAUACUAGAGGAUAGCCUUGCAACUCAAAUUUGGAUUUAUUCUCCAAAUGAUUCGCGACAGCGUUUUGAAUUGACUUCAGGAGCACAAUGUAAGCCUCUUUUCCCCAUGGAUAUGUCAUAUCCUGUGCAUUUUUCGCAUAUUCCAAAGGAAAACUCCCUCCUUUGCUCUUCCGCAAUAAUAUGCUCUCUACCAGGAUGAGCAUUGCGAGGCAUAUUCUCUCCUCAGAAGCAUCUUCUCUUGUGUUUCUGAGCUGGUCCACCACGUCACUUAACUUAUGACUACGCCCCUUUAGCAAUUCCCAAUUAAAUCUCUCGGUUUCCCUUCGUGGUCCUUCUAAUGCACCACUACAUUUCAAGCCUGUCAUCAUAUGAAAUUCUCUUAUAGAGAACCUCAUUGGCUGCGCACCGAAAUGGAACCAGGCUUCAUUCUCCUUGACAGAAACGAUGCUUCUAGUGAGAAUAGCGUUGACUAUCUUUGCUGAUAACUUCAAUCAUCUCUCACUGAGCUUCAUUACAGGUCCCAGAAAUGAUCCUCGGACUCUUAUCAUCUCAUCUGGUUUUAGGAUGCUUUUGACAAUAGAGAUAUAAUCUGAACCAGCGUAUUGGUUGAUUGCUGACUUUUCCUUUGGCUGUGAACCAAUAGGAUACUUCAGCUCUGGCAGUGCUAGUUUUAGAGGUACUGAAUCUCCCAUCAUGUUUCUAUCCUGCGUAAACAAGGAAAAAAAAAAUUUCAAACUUUUCUGGAAGGCUUUCCUGAAAUAACACAACAAAUGCUUCCUGAAAUUCUUAUAAACACUAGACAGUUUCACAAGCAACAAAAGACUCAUAAGCAAAUUCAAGACCCUAUCAAAAAUAUCAACAUUCCUAAUCAAAACAAGACUCCAAGCAAAAAAGUUUCAAAAUGUGUUACCAUCCGAGUUUCAAUUUUCAACAUUUAAUAGAUGCAGCAACAAAUGCUUUCUGGAAAUCUUCUAAAAACAUUCAAUAGAUGCAGCAAGAGACAACAAACUUUUAUUUUAUAAAUUUGUACAAACACACAGAAGGUUGAAUCUGCAACAUACCUCAAAGAGAUGAAUUAUGCUCCAACAACUUUGUGUUCCCACAAUUCAAAAGUCUUUCAUUUGCUUCGCUGGUUAAUAAGAAAGAGUAACAAACAAAUCAAAAUCAAAACGCAAGCUUCCCAAAUUUUAAUUCAAAAACCCUAAUUUUAAAAAGCUACAUAGUGAUUUGUGUCCGAUUUUGAGAGUAGAGAGUGUGACGCUGAUGAUUAGAUAGCCGGAGAAGAUGAUUAGCGAGCCGGAGAAUAUGAUUAGCGAGCGGGAGAAGAUGAUUGGCGAGCCGAAGAAAAUGAUUAGCGAGCCGAAGAAGAUGACUAGCGAGCCGGAGAAGAUGAUUCCCGAGUCGGAGAAGAUGAUUCCCGAGCCAGAGACGACGAUUCCCGAGUCGGAGACGACAGUGCCGGUGAGGGUUUGAAGAUUCCGGAGAGGAGACGACAGGUUUCGCGAUCGAAGGAAAUGAAAU